UCAUGUAUCCGCAGCUCCUCCGUCUUCCUCCCAAACCUUUUACCUUUUCUUUCUUUCUUCUCCAAAACUAGCAAUCUGAGAUUUCAACCUCUCUCUCUAAGAAGCAGCGGCAUGCUUUUCCAAACGCAAUCUGCAAUUUAAUCAAACAGCCACCGAAUUUUCUGGAAUCCGGUCAACGCAGCGAUGCUCCGGAUUUUGAUCGGUCAACGCCAGCUGCUUACCUGAGCUCCAAAAGACCCAACAGUGAUGACGUCUUCCACCUCUGUUUCUGUUUGGCUGAUUCUGCUGUUUGGCUUCUUUCACCUCCACAAGCUUGCAGCCAAUGUCGAGGGUAUGUCUCUGUGUGUUAUUGAAUUUGGGAGUGUUUGGUUGUGGGAACUGGAAUGAACUAAUGAAUGAAUGAAUGACUGGAAACAUUCCCGAAGAGCUUGGGGGUUUGUCAGACUUGGUGAGCUUGGAUCUUUACUUGGCAACCUUGCAAAACUGCGUUUCCUGUAUGAACCCCCAUCCUUUUGUUAGAUAAAAUCUAUCGUCAUUCUUUUUUAUUCGAUAUGCUAAUCUGCUGUUUUUAAUUGUUCCAUUGGAGUGACUUUCUUCCUUAAAGUCCUUGUGCCGGAUGCAUAUAAUUUAUAGUAUGAUCCCUGGUUUCAAGAUUCAGUCAUUGCAAGUCCUGUGAGUUUCAUACACUUUCAUCUCAGUAAGAGGGAGGAGAGAGUGAAAAGUUACUAAUUUCUCUGCCAUCAGAGAAUGCAAAUAACAUAUAGUUUUGCCAUGGAAUGCAGGGAUCUUUCAAAUAACAAUCUGACAGGGGAUAUUCCAGUUAAUGGAUCGUUUUCACUUUUUACUCCCAUCAGGUUUGUUGAAGCAACUGUACUCUUUUUCUUUAACUUUAGGGACAAAAAUAACAAUCUGACAGGGGAUACACUUUCAUCUCAGUAAGAGGGAGGAGAGGGUAAUAUAGCUUGAUCAAGUUGGUGUUGUAGUUGUUGUAUGGGAUGCAGGUUUCACUCAUCUACUGUCUUUGCAGCUGAGAAGGAUCCACAAGUUCAUUCACGACAGCUCAAAAACUUUUCUUUGCGCGAGCUACAAGUUGCAACAGAUACCUUUAGCGACAAAAAUAUUAUUGGUAGAGGUGGAUUUGGUAAGGUUUAUAGAGGACGCUUAGCUGAUGGAACUCUGGUUGCUGUAAAAAGACUUACAGAGGAGAGAACCCAAGACGGGGAACUACAGUUUCAAACAGAAGUUGAAAUGAUUAGAAUGGCUGUCCACCACCGCAAUCUGCUUUGUCUCCAUGGUUUUUGCAUGACACCAACAGAAAGGCUGCUUGUAUAUCCUUAUAUGGCUAAUGGAAGUGUGGCAUCUUGUUUAAGAGGUACUCAUCUAAAUUGUUUGCUGCGUUGAUGAAUCUUUUUGUUUUCACGACGUUAAAUUUUUUUUCGAUCACAUUGAUAUAAUGAAUUUAAAAACCUGACCAAUUUGGCUUGGAGUAUCAACACUAAUUUUUUUAAUGUUUUGUUUCCUUCAAUUUUAAUUUACCUUCUCGAUGCUGAUUUUAUUUCUGUUUAAUUUGAAAAGGAUGACAAGAAGACCCUUUUUUUGGGUAGGACGGGUGGUAUGAUAUGUGUUAGACCACAUUACCUGUUGCUUGUAAUUUGAAAUUCUCCUCUCAUAAGUAUGUGGAUAUAUUAUUGUAGGUCGUCCGGAAGGACAACCUGCACUUGAUUGGCCAAUAAGACAACGCAUUGCAUUGGGAUCUGCAAGAGGCCUUGCUUAUUUACAUGAUCACUGUGAUCCAAAAAUUAUUCACCGUGAUGUGAAAGCAGCAAACAUAUUGUUGGAUGAGGAAUUCGAAGCAGUUGUUGGAGACUUUGGGUUGGCUAAACUCAUGGACUACAAGGAUACAUAUGUUACCACACAUGUAUGUGGCACAUUUGGUCAUAUGGCACCGGAGCACUUUUCAACUGGAGUGUCUUCCGAGAAAACUGAUGUUUUUGGAUACGGAGUCAUGCUUCUUGAACUCAUCACUGGGCAGAGGGCUUUCAAUCCUCAUCUUGCGAGUGAUGAUGAUGUCAUGUUAGUUGAUUGGGUAUGCAUUUACGUCUUUCUGUUUGUGUAUGUAGCUAGUUCAUUGUUAUAUGCAAGAUUAUUUCCCAACAACAUUUGCAUUUCCUUAGUAAUUAGCUUUUAGAAAAUAAGUUUGGUUUAAUUAGCUUUUGUUAGUUAGAGUUAUGAUUAGCUGUGUAGAUUUGUUUAUCUUUAUUUAUAACAAUCUAAGGUUUAAACUGUCAGAGAUUAAUUAUUGCAUUUCCUUAGUAAUUGUUACUAUUGUUGUUGCUUCUUUUGCCAAUGUAUUGGCAUUUUGUGAUUUCUUGAAGAAUUUGGCAUAUGUUUUGUGUCGAUCGUAAUUUCCUCAUCAUCUCCUUAUUCUCGCUAUCGUGGCCUCUUGCUUUUUCCUAUUCUCUCUAUUGCAUCUUUGUCUUCUCUUUGCAUGAUAUCAAUAUUUGAAUGACGAAACAUUUUUGUAAGCAGUUCGAUUUUCUGUAGAAAACUGCGGUCCUUCAAAUUUUGAACAUUACAACACGUUUUUGUUCUCCUAGGUUCCCGCACCUUUUGUUUCAAAUUGUAGAACCACCCGACAUUUUCUGUUUUAUUUUUCCUAAAAAAAUUAGGUCAAACGACUACUGAAAGAACGGAGGUUGGAAAGACUUGUUGAUGCUGAUCUAAAUGGAAAUUAUAUUGACGAUCAAGUGGAGCAGCUGAUCCAAGUAGCUCUACUGUGCACACAAGGCUCCCCAGGGGAACGGCCCAAGAUGUCAGAGGUUGUCCGAAUGCUUGAAGGCGAAGGCGAAGGUUUGGCUGAAAGAUGGGAGGAGCGGCAAAACGAGGAGGUGAUCUGCCAAGAUUUCAACACUAUUCAUCAUCCAAGUACUUGGAUCAUAGACUCACCCUCUCCUAAUUUUGUGUUGUACUAUUUCUUUGAGUUUGAAGAAAUGGAUAAAAAGAAUGACAUGUGAUAGAGAGUUCAUCAUAUAACUUCUGACUUUAAGGAUUUUUCAUUUAGUUCUGGUUCAUGUUGCGCAAAUAAUAUUAGGUAACACUGCUACUGGGGCUAUUGCUGGAGGGGUUGCUGUUGGUGCUGCUUUAACGUUUGCUGCAACUGCAAAUACACUUGCUUAUUGGCGACGGAGAAAACCACAGGAUCAUUUCUUUGAUGUACCUGGUUAGUGAACUAUAGGAGUAAUAUAGCUUGAUAAAGGUGGUGUUUUAGUAUGGGAUGCAGGUUUCACUAAUCUACUGUCUUUGCAGCUGAGGAGGAUCCAGAAGUUCUUUUAGGACAGCUCAAAAGGUUUUCUUUGCGCAAACUACAAGUUGCAACGGAUAACUUUAGUAACAAAAAUAUUCUUGGUAGAGGUGGAUUUGGUAAGGUUUAUAAAGGACGCUUAGCUGAUGGAACUCUGGUUGCUGUAAAAAGACUUAAAGAGGCGAGAACCCAAGGUGGGGAGCUGCAGUUUCAAACAGAGGUUGAAAUGAUUAGCAUGGCUGUCCACCGCAAUCUGCUUCGUCUGCAUGGUUUUUGCAUGACACCAACAGAAAGGCUGCUUGUAUAUCCUUAUAUGGCUAAUGGAAGUGUGGCAUCAUGUAUAAGAGGUACUCUUCUAAAUUGUUUGCUGCGUUGAUGAAUCUUUUUGUUUACACAUGGGUAAAUUGCAUUUUACACCCUCAGGUUUGAGUGUAAUUGCAACCUCAUACAACAUUUUAAAACAUUUCAAUUUUAUUUAUUUACUUAUCAUUUUUAGCAAUUUCAUACAUCUGAUAGUCAAACCGUCAGUUUGACUGUUAAGGGAUGACAUGGCAAAUGUGAGGUCUACAUUUUGUUGACGGGGAUGCCAACUAUGAUUCACGUGGAAUAAAAACAAAUAAAAAGGAUUAAUAAAUAGAAAAUUAAUUUUUUUUUAAUUUAAAACUAAAAAAAUAGAAAAGAUUAAAAAAAAAAAAUGGUGUUGUUCAUCCCUAUCCUGCUCUCACCCCGUCCCCGCAUUCUUCAUUUCCCCCCGCCCACCAUCGCCACCUUCCCUUUCCUCAGCCACUGCAAUGAAUAGACCACAUUACCUGUUGCUUGUAAUUUGAAAUUCUCCUCUCAUAAGUAUGUGGAUAUAUUAUUGUAGAUCGUCCCGAAGGACAACCUGCACUUGAUUGGCCAAUAAGACAACGCAUUGCAUUGGAAUCUGCCAGAGGCCUUGCUUAUUUACAUGAUCACUGUGAUCCAAAAAUUAUUCACCGUGAUGUGAAAGCAGCAAACAUAUUGUUGGAUGAGGAAUUCAAAGCAGUUGUUGGAGACUUUGGGUUGGCUAAACUCAUGGACUACAGGGAUACACAUGUUACCACAGCUGUACGUGGCACAAUUGGUCAUAUAGCACCAGAGUACCUUUCAACUGGAAAAUGUUCCGAGAAAACUGAUGUUUUUGCAUACGGAGUCAUGCUUCUUGAACUCAUCACUGGGCAGAGGGCUUUUGAACUUGCUCGGCUUGCGACCAAUGAUGAUGUCAUGUUACUUGAUUGGGUAUGCUUAUACGUGUUUCUGUUUCUGUUUGUUGCUAAUUUUCUGUUUUCCUUAAUAUGUUUCAUAUUUUAUUAAAAAAAAAAGACAUAAUGUUGUUGAAAUUCAACGAUCUAUUGUGUCUCUUUGUCCAAAUCUUGGAAAUUAUGUUUCAAUACUCAUUUUUAAAGAAAUGUUAUAUAAUAUAGUGUGAAUUAGGUGUAUCUCUCGAUACCAAUGUUGCUAUUUAUUUAAGCCAAAAAUAAUGGGUCUCGACACCUAAUCACUUUAUUUCAAACCGCUAAUCUCAUAUGACAUUCUUAAUCAUUGUAUAUGGAACAUUUAAAAACCUAUUACUCAUCAUAGAGCUGCCAAGUUCCUCUCUAAUUAAUGUAAAAAUCACUUAGUCUUUUUUGGCCCGAAUAUUGAAAACAAUUAGAAUCAUGGAUCAAAGAAAAGAACUAAUACUUAACUUUUAGAAAAUAAUUUUAGUUUAAUUACCUUUUAUUAGUUAGACUUACGAUUAAACUGUGAAGAUUUAUUUAUCUUUAUUUAUAACAAUCUAAGAUUUAAAUUGUCAGAGAUUAAUUAUUACAUUUCCUUGGUAAUUGUUGUUAGUAUUGUUGUUGCUUCUUUUGCCAAUGUAUUGGCCUUGCGGUGAUUUCUUGAAGAUUUUGGCAUGUGUUUUGUAUCGAUCCUAAUUUCUUCAUUAUCUCUUUAUUCUCGCUAUCUUGGCCUCUUUCUUCUUUCUAUUCUCUGUUUGCAUCCUUGUCAUAUGUUUGCAUCAUAUCAAUAUUUGAAUGACGAUGCAUUUUUGUAAGCAGUUUGAUUUUAUGGAGAUACUGCAGCCCUUCAAAUUUUGAACAUUACAACACAUUUUCACUCUCCUAGGUGCCCUCACCUUUUGUUUCAAAUUGUAGAACUAUCUGAUUUUUUUCCUUUUUAUUUUAACUAAAAUAAUUAGGUCAAAGGACUACUGAAGGAUCAGAGGUUGGAAACAAUUGUUGAUGCUGAUCUACAUGGAAAUUAUGUUGACGAUCAAGUGGAGCAGCUCAUCCAAGUAGCUCUGCUGUGCACACAAGGCACCCCAGGGGAACGACCCAAGAUGUCAGAGGUUGGCCGGAUGCUGAAAGGUGAUGGUUUGGCUGAAAGAUGGGAGGAGUGGCAAAAAAAGGAGGUGUUCCGCCAAUAUUUCAACCCUAUUCAUCAUCCAAGUACUAAUCGGAUCAUAGACUCAACUUCUCAUGGUCCUCUAGAUGAGUUGUCCGGUCCUAGAUGAUAUGCUCGUUGGUUCCGUCCCCUUGUAUACAUGUAAGAAGCCUCAGAGGACUAGAGAAGGUCCAUUUUGUAUUUCAGUGAUACCACAUUUGUGCGAAUGUUUUGUCUUUGUUUUCGAUUUUGUUUUUGUGUCGCUUAUUUUUAAGAUCACAAAAAUGGAGCUGGUGCUGUUGUAAUUUUUAUAGGGUUAACUGGCAUUACGAAGUUAUAUUGUGCUAGCAGGAAUCAGGAAGGUCCAUAAAAGCACCCAUUCCUAAUGAUUUAUGUAUCUUUCCAACAAUUAGUCCAGAUUGUCGAGUAAAUAAUCUUUCUGAACUUAUAACUAUCUAUAUUUUUUAGUGUUCUUAUAGAUCCUAUAGAUACAUCCUAUAGAUACGAUAAGGGCAUUAGGUCAAGUGCAUGGGUGCUUGUGGACGGAUAGUGUUUGAAAUUUCAUUGUGAUCAUUGCAAGUGCAACUUUGUGGCGCUACCCUUAUAAGCACUUGAACUAAGGCAUUAGGGGAUCUAGAGAUCACUUUGUGUCACUCCAACAUGGGAAUUCGAGUUGUCUAUCCUCUUUAGAGAAUCGCCAAUGGAGACCCAAACCUAAAUAUUUGGGUUUAAACAAAAUAAAAAUGGAAUCUAACGGUGGGACUUUUUUUGUUUUUUUGAACAAAAAAUAUUAUCUACAUUAAAGGGGUAGGGGAUUAUGUUAAUCCUUAUAGUGAACAAAAAAUUACUAUUUAAUAUUUUAUAUAUUUAUUCAAAAUUUUAUAUUAUUAUAUCACUAUUUUAAUAUUUUCUUUGUGAUAUAUUUUUAUUUUUUUAUUAAUAUUUUCGGCCUGUGGGGUCCACAAUCACCCAGGCUCUUCUCUCAUUUUCUGCCAUGUGUUUUGUCUCCUCCCUCACUCCACCUCUCCCUCUCUCCCAUAAGACUCAUUUCCUCUCUCCUUCGGUGAAACCCAAUGACGCCGAAACCACCACCACCUUGCCGAUGCGACUCCAGCGGGUUACUCCACUUGAUGACCCAGGCUAGCACCACCUUCGUCAUUUUCUCCCCCUAUGUCGAACCAGCACCACUCACUUUCUUCCCCGAGGCCAUUGUUCACAUUUUUCUUUUUCGACAACAUUCAUGGCGAGUUCUCGUCGUUCAUGACAAAGGUAAGGUUCGAAAACCCUCAACAUCUUCGUAGAUUGUGUUUAUGAGUAUGACGAGGAUGUUCUUAAGAUGUUUUAGUGCUGGUUUGACGUAGAAAUACCCCAAGAGUAACAAACCCAGUGUUCCGGCAGAGAUCUGGCGGCUUUCGAGCCAUUUUUUGGCCAACUCCGGCCAAGACCAAGGAAACCAAAGGUAUAUUCCAAUUCCUUGAUCCGAAUCUGAACUCGGGAUCCGGCCCGAUCUGUUCUAAAUUGUAUAUGAAAUAUUCCAGAAUAUUCCCUGUGUUGACUUUUAAGAAAUUUUCUCAGAAACCCUCAUAGGCUAAUUUUGACGUCCCAAGUCCAUUUUUGACAUCUAUUUAGGAAAAUCAUGAAGUUUUAACAUAGUUGACCACCAAGGCGUCUCGUUGACAUUUUAGGGUUGACCGUUCACAUUUCGUUGACUUUUUACAAAAUUUGCAUUUAACCCCUCUUAGCGUAUUUCGACACUCUGAUUCUAAAUUCGCACUCCGUUUUCUCAAAUUUGAUCGUUUAAGUUGAGUUUUACUAAUGAGUCCUAAUAUUAUACUUUGGUGCGAUUACUAUCGGAGACUCCGACUUUCUUAGCUUGAAAGGAUGUGACAUCGCAGGUACUUGUGAGUGGGUCUUUUCUUUUAUAUAGUGUGUAUAUAUAUAUAUAUAUAUAUAUAUAUAUUUGUUAGUUUCCAUUUAUAUAUUUGGUAAAGAAUUUUCUAAGUUACACCUAUAUUAGGGUAACGUAUAUAAAAAUUAACGUAUUGACAGAAUUCAUGUAAUUAUACUACGUUCUAUGGGAUACACAGGUAUGCGUAUUAGUAUGGAUGCUUUAAUGGUAUUUACGGUUAUGAAUAAUAUUCCAUUGACUAGGGUUAUUGAAUUAUCGCAUUAUCAAUUUACCAUUGCAUGAUCAUAUUUGUGUUAUUUACUCAUCGUGUGCUGCACUGGUGUUAGUACUUGCCCAGGCCAGGGCCAAUCUUUCACGUGUAUGUUCACAUCGCACUGUACGCUUAGUUUGGAUCCAUUGUAGGUGUAAUCCUAUCCUAGAUUGCGAUAGGCAAUUAGGACUCAUAUGUGAGGCACUUAGCGCUAGCCUUCACGUGAUUGUAGUACUAGAGCGUAAAUCAUUGCUUACACCCAGUCAUGUUCAUGUCAGAAUACCUCUGCAUGAACUCGUGUAUCAGCAUAUGUCAAUGAGCACUCGAUGUGAUAUGUUUAUUUCUGCGAGAUAUUGUGAUUACUAUAAGUUAUGUACCUAUUUAUGAAUUUUGUGACGUAUUGAAUUCUUAAGAUUUUGCAGGCUACAGUAAGUAUUUUCAUACUAUACGUAGUAUGUAAAUUUUGGAAACUAUACUUGUUUUACGAUAAGGGGUUAUAAUGUUUUCAAAAAGCUUUUUAUAAAACUUUAUUUUAGGCCCACUCACCCUUGUUUUUCUCCCCUCUAAGAUUUAGUGGCAAUGUUCGUGUCGACAAGGAUUUCUAGCAAACGCUGAUAUCAGAGACUACUUCUGAUGGUAUAAUUCUCAAUCUACUCUAUUGUACUUUACUUAUACUCUGACAUCACAUGUGAACUAGGUUGAUUCCCGCUCACUAACGCACUCUUAUACUUAGGCACUUUUAGAUUUAAAUUUAUUUCCAUUUUCCAAAUCACUAUAUUUUAUGGCUUCGUCACUCUCCUGGUGUCGACCAGCACACCUCGAUUCGGAGCCUAAGUAGGCAUUCCGGGUCAGGGUGUGUCAGUUUGGUAUCAGAGCAUAAGUUUGGUCAGCAUUGCGUUCAUCACACGCGUGCUGUAAGCAUUCUUGGUUCUUGAACCUAAUUGUCGAAUCUUGUCACCUCGUCGAAUACAAAAAAUGUGUUAGCUUUUCUUGAGUUAUGGGUUACUUAGACGACUUAUUGACAUGUUAGAAGAAUACUUUGGCGACCACCUCUAAACUUUAAGCGAAGGAUUUUCCUGCCAAGGAAAUAUGUAGAUUUGAGACAAGUUGAUGGCCCUGAAGCAGGGCUACUAUAUCGAUAGUUGUGCAUCACGAGAGAUUUACCAACCAAAUCCACUACCAUCUGGUCAUUUCUACCAACCCUUUUAAGUUAGAAAACCAUAAACAGUUUUGAUUCCUUGGCAUUACCCGUUAGUAUACCACAUAUCAGAAUUCCUGUGAAGUUUUAGUUUUUGUCAAAAUUUCCAAAAAUGUCCCGAAUGACAAUGUGGUGCUAAAAGGGUAGCAUUCGACAGAAGAACAUCUAGGGGAUAAUCACUUUUGUUCCCUGAUAACACUAAUCUUCUUAAGCGCACUGGUUAUCAUUUCGGAUCCUCAGGAGGAAGAUCGAUUUCCAUUUAGGUUAUUAACAAAUUUCUUUUCCGGUGUGGACCCCACCAUUGACAUUUGGUCAACAGGUCUUGAACCAUUUGAAUUACUAAAAUUAGUAUUACUAGAGACUCAGUGAAGCUUUGCUGACUUGUCUCGGUGAGUGACUUUAAUAUAUGUGAUAUGGUGAUUACCCGAUUCUUUAUAUUACUAUCCUUUGUGGAUAUGACAUGGUUUUAUAAAUGUGUUUUCUGUUAAAAUGUGAUUCUUUUAUAAUUGGCCAUCGAUCUAUUUUUAUUAAAUGUGAUUUGAUUCAUGGAUUGGUAAUAUUUGUGAAAAAGUGAUUCGAAUUGCAUAUUGAAAUGUUUUGUAAAUUGAGGGCUAGUAGAGGACUAUGACCCUGCUUGGUUAAUCCGCAUUGGGGGGUCAUUAGUGGUCCUGCUUGGUUAAUCCGCAUUGAGGGACCAUACUAUAUAUGGAUCGUGCUUGGUUAAUCUGCGUUGGGCGAUCCUUAUGGCCAUUUAUACUUAGGGGUGAUCAUGCUUGAUUAAUCCGCUUGGUUAAUUCGCAUUGGGGGGGGGGUGAUGAGUUCAUAUUAUACUAUAUAUUUCACCCUAUUCUUAGUAUUAAUUUAUUGAUUAUUUUGGUAGAAUUUUGAUACUUUGUUUUAUAUUUUCAACAUAGGAUAUUCAAUUUCCUCUGGAACAAAACUUGACCAAAUGGACGAAAUUUCGAGUGAUUCAAAUUGGAGGACGUUCGUGUGUUGUUUGUGUCAAAAUAUCAGAAAUUUCUACCAAGCGGUUAUUUUCUGGAGAUUAAAUGAAGGAGCAGUGCGCAUUGCUGGAAAGUGACAUUUCUGGGCUUAAACUACAUUUUUGGAGCCCGAGAUGACUUCGGCUGGAGAAGUGUUCAGAAUAGUCCAAACUUUAGAUCCAGCUAUUUUGGGCCAGUUUAGGAUUAUAUUUCCUAUUUUAUUUCUAUUUAUUACGUUUCCUGGUUUUAUUCUAAGACCUUUUAGGGUUUUAUUUUGUAUUAGUAUAAAUAAGGCUUUUUAGCCAUUAGGUUAAGAAAUAGGGGAGAGAACGCACACAUUUUGGCUUUAGAGAGCUUUUGACGAAUCAAGUGUAUUUUCAAGGUGUUUUCUAUCCAUGUUUUUAAUAAUAUUUUAUUUUAUGAUUGUUUGUAAUUAGUUUUGUUUGCUAGGGUGAGGCCACGAGCCUUAGCAAAAAUAUGUAUUUUUUUUUUCAAUUUGCUUAUAAUAUUAUGCAUGCAAGUUUUGAAUUAUUAACCACUGUGCUUUAAACUAUCUAGUUGUCUUGAUGAUUGGCCACCAUUAGGAUAUUUAGAAAAGUAAUUUGAUGCAAUUUUGGUGGAGGGCUGUCCCUGGAAUUGGCGUUGGCUUCUUGUGGUUAAUAUGUGUAACCUCUUAGGAUGGACGACAUGUUUUAAGGGUUAUAUGGUUUUUCAAAAGGUUUUCACAAAACUUAAUGAGUCUUGCAUGUUCACAUUCGAUCUGGACGCCACAGACGGGUUUCAAGUAGGGCAUACUUUAGGAAAACCUAACCUUCAAAAUAUGCAUGGGUAAUUCAUAAGUAAUUGAAAGAACUACGUAGAAUUGUUAAGGUGACAACGGAACCCUAGUGCUCAAAUUUAUUUUCAAAACUAUUUUCUUUUGUUUUUUUUUAUUACUUUGCCAAUUUAUUUAAUUUUUUUUAAUAAAAUUCAUUUUUAAUAUUUUAGGUCAUAAAAUCAACCUCUUCUAAAUUUUGUUUUCAAAUCAUUAAUUAAGAUUUGGUUUUAACAUAAAUUAUUCAUUCAAUCCCUGUGGAGAUCGACCUUACUUGAGCUGCUAUACUAUGACAACCUUGUACUCUUGCAAGUAUUUUUAAAUGUUUUUAUCUCUAAUUUUGCAGGUGGUAAAAAUCCCUACCAGAGGGUCACUAGUGGUCUUGCUUGGUUAAUCCACAUUAGGGGACCAUACUAUAUGUAAAUCGUGCUUGGUUAAUCCACGUUAGGCGAUCCUUAUGGCCAUGUAUGCUUAGGAGUGAUCAUGCUUGGUUAAUCCGCAUUGGAUGAUCACUUCCUAACAGCUGUAGGAGUGACUCUGCUUGGUUAAUCCGCUUUGGGGGGGUCACUGCCUACUUGGUUACUUUCUCAUGGGUGGCUUUGCUUGGUUAAUCUGUUUUGGGAGGCCACUUCGUGUUUGGUUACUUAUGUAGGCUUCUGCCGAACUGCGUCCCUCUAGCCCUAGUUUUUAAUGUACAUAUGAACGAUGGUUUUUGAGAAUCUUGGUGGUUUGAAUGGGAAAAGCCAUUGGAUGUUUGGGUGACUCAUUCGGAGUUGUUAGAGACUUGACUAUGUUUUCAUAUUUACAAACUUAUAUUUGAGGUUUAUAAACUGUGAUUGAUGGUCUUUCUUUUUAUUGAUUAUCACAUACUUGUAUUAUUGUCACUCACCCGAUUUUACAUAUGACAGGCCUGGGUAGAUUAUGAGAAACCGCUUGAUAUUUUGGUUUCAUUGAGUAAUCCGGAACCCGGUGUCGUUGGAUUCCGUUGAGUGAUUCGAAAUCCUUGUUCUCGCUCAUUCCCAUAAGGUUAGUCUAGAACCCUAGAUUUGAGUGAAUGAAAAUUACCCACAAUAGACCUUGUGAAUAUGAAAUAGAUUUACCAUGUUAUUACUGAUAAUCCAAGUAGAAAAUUAUAUAGAGUUCCUUGGUUAAAUUUGUGAAAUGAUAUGUUAUUGCAUUCAUUGAUUAGCAUAUUUAAAUGCUAAGAUCAUGUAUCUUUGAUUCAUGAAUUGAUUGAUUGACGGAAUUGUGGAAUGACUUGGUUAUGGUUGUUAUUAUUUUGAUUAUUUUAGUUGAUCAAUGUGGCUUGAGAAUAAUAUGUGCUUCGUUGGUUAUUUGAUAUGUUACAUGUUGUGGAUGGAAGUAUCGUGCUGAAAACAUAGAAUUUAUAUGAUGGAUGGAAUGAGAAUCUUGAACGGCAUGUUGGUUUGUUUUGUAGCCAUGAACUUGGUAAUGUCAUGCAUGUCAAGUUCUAAUAAUUGAUUACAGAAUGCUAUGUAUUCCUAUUAGAACGCACUGGAAUAAAUGUCUAAAUUAGUGAACGAUGAACUACGAACGGCUUGAUCCCUAAUGAGGGUACGUAGGCAAUCUAACGAGGAGGUUAGAUGCAGCCAUAAAGUAUACGAAAAAUUACUAUGCGAUUCAAUUCUCAAGUUGUGAUUUGCCAUAUCCCGGAGGCGGGGUAUGUUGAGAUACGGGUAUUUGGUGACGUCACAUGUCGAUCCUGAACAUAUGUUGGGAUCGGGGCGUGACAUUUUUGAUCACUUCCAUAGGUAGACAGUAGAAUCAAAGUACGAGUUAAUUUCUUGCUAUUAAAGUGAAUUGAGUAUCGAGAAAACUAUGAAGACCUUUUAGUUCAUGUCGUAGAGUUGGGAAGUAGUAUUGUACGUUUUGAUGACGUAUAUCCAAGUGUCUAUUUCAAAAAUUUACCUGAGAUAUCACCAAAUUGUGAAGUAAGAUACACUAUCAACCUAUUUUCUAAUACGACACCUAUUAUCCUUGCAUCUUAUCGAACGACUCCUUUGACUUGAGAAACUUAGUUACAAAAGCUUAUCGAUUAGGAAUUCACCCAACCAAACACUUUAUCUAGGGAACCCUAAACCUAUCCAAGAAGACAAUAGGUUGAACCUUAAAACUGUAUCUAGAUUUUAGCAACUCUAUCGAGUGACAUUUAACUCCGUUAUACCAUACUUUGAAUUUAUGGUCUAUCCAACCAACCUCUGAGCCCAAGUUUUCUUCCGUAGCUUGUCAAAUUCGUAGUGGUUUUACCGAUGACUUUCUCACCUACCGUAGCAACGGGAGCAAAUUUUCUAAACACUGACAGUCAGCUUUAUACCAAAUUCCUCAAAUAUUACCUUUGUUUUAGAUUUCUUGGGAGACGUGAUCUCAACAGAGACGUUCUUGUCAAUUUCCAAAAAGGUUGCACAUGAAGAAGAUUUCAUAUUCCACAAAUCGUUGUGAAUAAUGCGAUAUCCUUGGCCUUGUUGGUUAUAUCGACAUUUCGUUAGUAACUUUUCAGCAGUGGUGUUUUUCCUUGCAAGUUGACCGAGGAAAAUCAGUUUAACUGAGAUGUGGAAUAUGAUUACAGUUGUGACAACUGAGGUGUUGUCUAUUUCUUACCCUUGUUCGUACACCUUUCGAUAACAUUGAAUGAUUUGGCUGCAUACUGAUAGAAUAUGACGAAGUAUUGCUUAUGUUUCCCAACGGUUGAAACCAUAUAAAGUGAACUAACUUACUAUUGACCUAGAGUCAACAAUUACCAUCUUUCCUUGAAACUGGAUGACACUUCUCUAUGGAGAAUCUUGUCCAAAAUCUGUACCAACCUUAGACUUCUCAAAUACAUCUUCAUUUGUAAUGAGCUAAAUUUCUGACAGUAGUGAUGGACGAACUAAAUCAACGUUUACGAUUACACUAUCGUGUAUUACCCUGGUUGUGUAAACGUAAUUACUGUUCACCGUAGUAAAAGAUGUAUCUACCCUUGAACAUUUUCAACCUGUCCUAUUCCAACUCAUUUGGAAUUCAUGAGUAUUGUUAUGACGUGACUUACGAAUCCUCAAGAAAUCGUUCGAGUGGUUAUAAUCACUUACUGUAUUUGAAUAGAGAUGAGAAAUAUCACCAUAAGUUCCUAGUACGAGGUAUUUUGUACAUGUGGAUAUUAUGAUAAUGUUUCGAUGAUUAUCUAUCAACUUGACAAGUCAGCUCACCUUCUGUUGGUCGAGAAGAACUACAUUUUAGACCACUUAUCAAAAUUUCUCAUUCUUGAACUUAUUAGACUUUUUGACGUUUUGAUCAGCAUCUAAUCUAACUGUGAUUCCCUAUUCACCAUCUUGGGCUGGAAAGCAUUCCAAUCAACCUUAGGUACGUCUUACCCUACAACACUUUGUAUUAUUUCUUAAGCAAAUAGAUUGUUUAGAUGAACCGCUGACAUUGAAGUUUUAGUUAUGACCAUUAACUCCUCAAUCACCUAACAAAUACUUUACUGAACGAAUCUUUACCAUUAGUGAUUGAAUAUUCUGAAAGCUACCGUUGUAGUGAGAUAUUAUGCAUUCAAUCCAGCCAUCUUGUACUCUAGAUUCGAUGAACUUGUUUUGACCCUCAAAUUCUUGAGUGUUCAUUUAGCCUUUUCGGCGUAAUGUUUCACUAAACCCGAGUGGAAAUUCAUAAUGAAUCUACUUGCUGAGGCAUAUGUGAAUUACAGUGUUUGGUUGCAUAGUGUGCAUGACACUACUGUAUCUUAUUAUGAUGCGCAUUUCGCUUCCAAGUUUUGGGAAGCCUUCUUGAAGGCCAUGCGUAUUAAGUUUUGUCACAUACCACAUUUCACCCUCAGACUAACGGUCAGUCUGAAUGAACUAUUCAGACCUUAGAUAACAUAUUUCUUUUGUAUGUUUUAUAGUUUUAACUGGUUAUGUUAGACACCUAUCUUUGCUUAUGUUGCGUACGACGAUAGUUAUUAUUAUGGUUUGGCUAUAGUAUUGUUUAAGCUGUGAUAUAGAGAUUUUACGCACGGAACAUGUUUGACAGACGAGUAUUGCGAACAAGUAUUCGAAUGAUCAGGAUUAAGAUGUAGCAAACUAUGAGAUAUUGACGAUGUCGCCGAAGAGGGUCAUGCGUGAAUGCAAUCAAGGCGUUAAUCAGAUGAUUUAUGUGUAUUUCCCAAUGAGGGGCAAGAUGGUAAUAUUGCACCCUCAUGAAUUAUUUGCUUGGUUAUUGUGACAACACCGUAAUAUUGAUAACUUAUUUAUUGUUUGGACUUGACCCAAAGAUACUACACUUAUUCUCGGAUUACGUGACGCUACAAGUGCAUAGGUGACAUUUUUCUAUGUUCAGUUUUGAUUUCAGUACAACUAUCUUGAUUCUACGUUAUUGUGUAUAUGUAUUUUAAUUUGACGUUAUGUUUAUAUAUAUAUUACCUUAUGUUUUUAUAAAAUAUAAUAUUAUAGUAUUGUGCUGAAGGAGAAGGAAAGUAUGAGUUUGGAGCCAUAAAAUAGGAAUCAUUGCACACCUAUCGCGACAGAAUGACAUUCUCUUUUAUGCAACCGCUCUAGCUUGAAUUCUUCUUUAUAUAUUUUCCUUCUGUCUUGAGUAUUUUAUGUUUAGCAACUUAUUUCAAAUUUUGGGGACAAAAUUUUUUUUAAGGGGUGUAUAUUGUGACAACUCGUCCCUACUUUUAUGAUUUUAUUAAUUUUAAAAGCGUGAAUUGGCAAAAAUGCUCUAGCUUGAAUUCUUCUUUAUAUAUUUUCCUUAUGUCUUGAGUAUUUUAUUUUUAGCAACUUAUUUCAAAUUUUGGGGACAAAAUUUUUUUUUAAGGUGGGUAGAUUGUGACAACCCGUCCCUACUUUUAUGAUUUAAUUAAUUUUAAAAGCGUAAAUUGACGAAAAUGCCCAAGAGGCGAGAUUAUUGACUUUCGUUGAUCGUUGUUUGUGACACGUAUGAGUUAUUACUUUACCGUACCCUUGAAGUACUCGAUGGUAAAAACGCAUAGGCGCAAGCGGAAUCGAAUUUGGAGCAACGAUGAAAAUUUUAUUGAACAAUGAAUCCGAAAAAUACUUUUGUAAAAAUUACUAUUUUAUAUUUUAUAUAUUUAUUCAAAAUUUUAUAUUAUUAUAUCACUAUUUUAAUAUAUUUCUAUGGGAUAUUUUUUAUUAUUUUAUUAAUAUUUUCGGCCCAUGGGGCCCACACUCACCCAAGCUCUCAUCUCAUUUUCUGCCAUGUGUUUUGUCUCCUCCUUCUGUCCUGUAAGACUCCCCUUUUUCUCUCCCUUGGUGAAACCUAGUGACACUGGAACCACCACCACCACCACCACCUUGCCGUUGCGACUCCGGCGAGUUACUCCACUCGAUGACCCAGGUUGGCACCACCUUCGUCGUUUUCUCCCCCCUCCAUGUCGAACGAGCACCACUCAUUUUCUUCCCCAAGGCCACUGUUCACGUUUUUCUUUUCUGACGACAUUCAUAGCAAGUUCUCGCUGUUCAUGACGAAGGUAAGGUUCGAAAACCCUCAAUAUCUUUGAACACCCUCAAUAUCUUCGUAAAUCCCGUCCCUGAUUUUCACUAUUGCAAAUUACGUAUGUGUAUUAAGGAGUUAUUAUAUUAUUUUUGGAAUUUAUAUUAAUUGUAGAGUGUUGAGAUUGUGUAUUCAAAAGAUAUCAAUGUGAAAAAGCUACAAUUAAAAAGUUGCCCUUAAUUAAUUAAGGAGAGGAAAAAAAAGGGAACUUUAACGAAAAGCUCCCGGUACUGUUCAUUUUAACGAAAAACCACAUUUUUACACUAAAAAGUCAAUCCUGGUACUAUUCACUUUACCCUUUAUUUUGUCCUUAUCGUUAAAACUCAAAGUUUUCAAGCCCUUUUCAUUAGUUUUCCUAAAAAAAAAAGAAAAGGAAUUUGGGGAGAGAAAUGAAGGAGGCUUGGCCAACGGGAAGGCGGGAGAGAAAGAAGGCUGCCAAUGAGAAAAAAGGAAAGGAGGAGGAAAGAGGGGAGGGGAGGGACACCAGAUUCCCUGCCCAAUUGUCUUUUCCGACCUGAACGCGUCAUUGCUACCACUUCCGACGGGUUUUCCGUCCAUUUUUUGGCGAUCCACCAUUUUUGAAAUAAUGUUCUUCAAUUACCACCACAAAGACACUCAUCUAGAGGUCAGGAAAAAAGCCCAAGCAAGAUUGGGGGUGUUGGAGUUCGAAUUGAGGACGAAUCAAAUGACACCCAUUUCAAGGGUUCCGGCGGAUCGAGGCAAAAUUGAAGGGUUCCCCGGCAAAAUUGGACCUCGGCCCAGGUAUGAAAAUUUCUCCCCGCACUGAUAUCUACAUGCCUGUAAAGUUUGGUAAUUUUUGGAAAUAGUUGAAUUUUCGGCAAGUCGGGGCUGCCGACCGCCACCCGCGGCGGCGGCCUGCCCAGUGGGCCGACGAUGUCCUUUUAAGUUCAAAUAGAUGCCUUGAUUUCAUAAUUGAUAUCCGUAUGACGUAAUUUGAUUGUUUGGACUUAGUUUCAUUACGAUACCUCAUGUUGAUGCACAAAACCGGAGGUUUUGGGACAAUAUAAAUCCGAUCGUGAAUCUGCAAGUAAUGUAAGUAACACAAGAUGUAUCGUGGUUCACCCCAAUGUUUGGGCUACGUCCACACUGAUUAUUGAAUUUCUUUAAGAUGCUGAAGAGGGAGAAAGAGAGUUUCUCUGUGAGGAUGAGAGCUCUGAGAGGGUGAAGGUACGGCCUAAGAAAUGGCCUCCCUUCAUGAAGAGAGUGAGGGGUCCUUUUAUAGAAUAAGGGCUCCUCACUUAUUACAUAUUUGCCCUUUAUUUAUUACAUAAUUACAUUUGAGUCCCCCGAGUAUUUAUACGAGAUCUAAAAACGGAGGCCCUAAGUAUGGUAUAAACAGUAAUCCCCCAAGUCUUCAGUCAAGAUAGUCUUUUGGCUGGAGACUUGAAAUUCAGUCCAUGUGUGGACCAAAGUAACUAGACAUCGUCUAGGACUGAUACUCGAUAUGAGGCGGUGCUCAAUCUGAAAUGAUGCUCAACUAGAAGUAGCACAUGUUGCGAGGCUGCUUGGCUUGUGGCUUAUGUUGUCUUGGUUGGCUUGGCUUGUGGCAUUGAAGGUAAGGGAGUCCCUUUUAUAGAAUAAGGGCUCGCUCCUCAAUACAUGAAUGAUAGGCUAGAGUUGAUGCUCGCGGCGAGGGCAUUGCUCAGCUGGCGACGAUGCUCUCUAAUGAUGGUGAGGGAGUCUCUUUUAUAGAAUAAGGGCUCGCUCCUCAAUACAUAAGUGAUGAGUUAGGAGUGAUGUUCCCGGCGAGGCGAUUGCUCAGCUGGCGGCGAUGCUCUCUAAUAAAGGUGAGGGAGUCCCUUUUAUAAAAUAAGGGUUCGCUCCUCAGUACAUGAAUAAUGGGUGCUUUCUAAUGAAAGUGAGGGAGUCCCUUUUAUAGAAUAAGGGCUCGCUCAUCAGUACAUAAAUAAUGGGCUAAGUCCCCCAAGUAUUUUUCAUGAGGCCCAGUUGAGGCCCAAUAAAUGGUACAUAAUGUAGUCCCCCAAGUCUUCGGUCAAUAGAGUCUGUUGGUUGGACACUUCAAAUUGAAUCCAAGUAUGGGCUGAAGUGGCGGUUGUUCGGAGGCGGUAUUUGUAUACCCUGCACUGAAGCUUUGUAGGUGAAGCUUUGCAAGUGAAGCUUUGAAGCUAGAGCUCUGUAAAUGAAGCUUUUAAAGCUAGAGCUCUAUAAAUGAAGCUUUUGAAGCUAGAGCUUUGUAAAUGAAACUUCUGAAGCUAGCGCUUUUGUGAAUGAAGCUUUUGAAGCUAGAGCUCUGUAAAUGAAGCUUUUGAAGCUGAUUGACAUGAGUGAUGGUCAUGAAUGUUUAUGUUGAUUGACAUGAGUGAUGCUCAUGGAUGUUGAUGAAUGAUGGUCAUGAAUGUUUAUGUAUGAUUGACAUGAGUGAUGUUCAUGAAUGUUUAUGUAUGAUUGACAUGAGUGAUGCUUAUGUAUAAUUUUGGAGUACUGGAUGUACUUUUGAUCACCUGAUUGGUGAUAAUAGCGGCAGGCUGCCAAAUAAUUUUGGAGUACUGGGCGUACUUUAGAUCACCUGGUUGAUGAUAAUAGCGACAGGUUGCCGAAUAAUUUUGGGAGUACUGGGCGUACUUUAGAUCACCUGGUUGAUGAUAAUAGCGACAGGUUGCCGAAUAAUUUUGGGAGUACUGGGCGUACUUUUGAUCACUUGGUUGGUGAUAAUAGCGGCAGGUGCCGAAUAAAUUUGGAGCCAUAGGGCCUGGCUCUUUUGGGCAUAUGGGCAUUCGCCCUCCACAUGACAUUGCAGCCCACUAUUUUGGGCUUGCCCUUUUUUUUUAAAAUUUUUUUUAUUAUUACCCUCUGAUGGGGUUUAUAUAGAUGUCUCCGAAAGAUAAGAAAAAUAAAUUAUAUCAUUCAAAAAUAAAUCUCACCCUCUGCUCAAUGGGUUAUGCCCAUAAUUCCCUUUUCUGCAUGCCAUCACCACCGCAAUUAUGUCUGCUUCUUUUUAUCUUCUUUUGCUUUCUGCUUUUUACUUUCUGCUUUUCUUUUGCUUUCGGCCUGGUUGGUGCUAAGACCUUGUAGUGGGAUGGCAAACAGCUUGGCAUCAUUAUGUCUGAAUUCCUUUAUCAUCGUGGUGCCGAACCACUUUCCAGUUGUGUGUUUAAAGGAACCUGUUUUACCUUCACUGCUUUUUGACCAUACUUCCUCCAUCUAUACCCAAUUGAAGUAAUGAUUACUCCCCUGGAGCCGAUACUAGACCGGUUGAGUCAUUCUGGGAGGCAGCGGAAUGUUGACGUCUGCAACGUGCGGACCGAAGCCCAAAUGCGACGUCGUUUGGCCUGCCACCAGAAGAAGAAACAAACCGAGCAAAACAUUGAAACUCACCAGAGAGAUCGCCGGAGUCAGAGCUUAAGAGAGUAAACACCCAUGAUCCAUGUGAAGAGAGUGAGAGAGUGAGAGCAUGAGAGAGUAAACUCAUCCAAAUUAGAGUAAACUCACACAACUCCGGCCACAGAGUCGUACUCUUCCAUACCAACAUUUCCAUUUCCAACACUACCCUCCACGUUCUUCUUCACCCUCCCUGCAAUCACACGGCACACCAACAUUGCCCUCUUGUCACCCUCCUUCGUCGCCACCACCGCUUUAUCAUGAGCUCUGCUGCUUGUCGCAGUUGUCAAAAUACCCAGCUCCGUCAACUCCCCAGAGAACUUGUUGAAGCCGUUUUUUAUAAUGAUGCAAACAUUGCAGUGUGGGAUUAAGUUACUUGGAGAGCUUGGUGGCAAAGGUGGUGUAGUGGAAACGGAUGAGCUCGUUGCCGUCAGCGAUGCAGCGGGGGUGUUUCUUGGAGAGCUUGGUGGCUUUUACUUUGAUGGAGUCUCUAUACUCUUUGAAUUUGGUGAUGGUAUCUUGGGUGUUAUGGACUUUAAGGAUGCGGUCGAUUUUGUAGAUUGGGGUUCUUUUUUCAGCCAGCUGGACUGGAAUAUGAUCUCCACUAUGUUCUUGCUAGUAUCAUCAGGACUCCGAGCUUGUAUGGUGUCUCUACCGUCACAAGGAGAAGAUCAACCUCGCUGGUCACGAAGAGAAGAUCAGCCUCCGCUACUCAAGCUCCGACUCCAGCGAUCUCUCUUGUGAGUUUCACUGUUUUGCUCGGUUUGUUUCUUCUUCUGGUGGCGGGCCAAACGACGUCGCAUUUGGGCUUCGGUCCGUAAAUUGUAGACAUUAACAUUCUGCUGCCUCCCAGAAUGACUCAUCUGGUCUAGUAUCGGCUCCAGGGAGUAAUGAUUGCUUCAAAUGGGUAUAGAUAGAGGAAGUAUGGUAAAAAAGCAGUGAAGGUAAAACAGGUUGCUUUAAACACACAGCUGGAAAGUGGUCCGGCACCACGAUGAUAAAGGAAUUCAGACAUAAUGAUGCUAAGCUGUUUGCCAUCCCACUACAAGGUCCCAGCACCUACCAGACUGAAAGCAAAAGAAAAGCAGAAAGCAAAAGAACAUAAAAAGAAGCAGACAUAAUUGCGGUGGUGAUGGCAUGCAAAAAAGGGAAUUAUAGGCAUAACCCAUUGAGCAGAGGGUCGGAUUUAUUUUUGAAUGAUGUAAUUUAUUUUUCUUAUCUUUCGGAGACAUCUGUAUAAACCCCUUCAGAGAGUAAUAAUAAAAAAUUAAAAAAAAAACGGCAAGCCUAAAAUAGUGGGCUGCAAUGUCAUGUGGAGGGUGAAGACCCAUAUGCCCAAAAGAGCCAGGCCCUAUGGCUCCAAAUUUAUUCGGCACCCUGCCGCUAUUAUCACCAACCAAGUGAGCAAAAGUACGCCCAGUACUCCCAAAAUUAUUCGGCAACCUGCCGUUAUUAUCACUAACCAGGUGAUCAAAAGUACAUCCAAUACUCCAAAAUUAUUUGGCAGCUUACCGUUAUUAUCACUAACCAGGUGAUCAAAAGUACGUCCAGUACUCCAACAUUAUACAUGAGCAUCACUCAUGUCAAUCAUACAUAAACAUUCAUGACCAUCAUUCAUCAACAUCCAUGAGCAUCACUCAUGUCAAUCAACAUAAACAUUCAUGAGCAUCACUUAUGUCAAUCAGCUUCAAAAGCUUCCUUUACAGAGCUCUAUCUUCAAAAGCUUCAUUUACAGAGUUUUAGCUUCAAAAGCUUCAUUUACAGAGCUCUAGCUUCAAAGCUUCACUUGCAAAGCUUUCACCUACAAAGCUUCAGUGCAGGGUAUACAAAUACCGCAUCCGAACAAUCGCCACUUCGGCAUAUACAUGGAUUCUAUUUGAAGUCUCUAGCCAACAGACUUUAUUGACCGAAGACUUGGGGGACUACAUUAUGUACCAUAUAUUGGGCCUCAACUGGGCCUCAUGAAAAAUACUUGGGGGACUUAGCCCAUUAUUUAUGUACUGAGGAACGAGCCCUUAUUCUAUAAAAAGGACUCCCUCAAUUUCAUUAGAGAGCACCUAUUAUUCAUGUACUGAGGAGUGAGCCUUUAUUUUAUAAAAGAGACUCCUUCACCUUCAUUAGAGAGCAUCACCACCAGCUAAGCAACCGCCUCGCCGCGAGCAUCACUCCUAACUCAUCACUUAUGUAUUGAGGAGCGAACCCUUAUUCUAUAAAAUGGACUCCCUCACCAUCAUUAGAGAGCAUCGUCGCCAGCUGAGCAACUGCCUCGCCGCGAGCAUCAACUCUAGCCCAUCAUUUAUGUUUUGAGGAGCAAGCCCUUAUUCUAUAAAAGGGACUCCCUCACCUUCAACGCCAUAAGCCGAGCCAACCAAGGCAACAUAAGCCACAAGCCGAGCAGCCUCGCAACAUGUGCUACUUCUAGUUGAGCAUCAUUUCAGAUUAAGCACCGCCUCAUAUCGAGUAUCAGUCCUAGAUGACGUCCAGUUACUUCGCCCACACAUGGACUGAGUUUUAAGUCUCCAGCCAAAAGACUCUAUUGACUGAAUACUUGGGGGACUACUGUUUAUACCAUACUUAGGGCCUCCGUAUUUAGAUCUCGUAUAAAUACUAGGGGGACUCAAAUGUAAUUAUGUAAUAAAUGAAGGGGCAAAUAUGUAAUAAGUGAGGAGCCCUUAUUCUAUAAAAGGACCCCUCACUCUCCUCAUGAAGGGAGGCCAAAUCUUAGGCCAUACCCUCACCAUCUCAGAGCUCUCAUCCUCACAAAAAAGCUCUCUCUCUCCCUCUUCAACAUCUCGGAGAAAUACAAUAAUCAGUGUGGACGUAGCCCAAACAUUGUGGUGAACCAUGAUACAUCUUGUGUUAUUUACAUUUCUUGCAGAUUCAUGGUCGAAUUUACGUUGUCCCAAGACCUUCGGUUUUGUGCAUCAACAUAUUUGAUGGAUGAAAUAGAAACCUUGAUUAUCAUGUGGGUUGUUAUGUAGCUUGAAUUGAAUAAUUCAUGCUUGUCAAGUCCAACUGUUUGAUUGAGGAAUGUUAUGCCUUUUGGCUUGAGUGAAUAGUGUUAUAUGUCGAGUUAUAAAGACGUUGAACUACGAAUGGCUUGAUCCCUAUUGAGGGUACAUAGGCAAUCUAACGAAGAGGUUAGAUGCAGCCAUAAUGUAUACGCAAAAUUAUUAUGCAUCUAGAUCUUGAAUUAUAUUUUGUACAUAUCCAAAAAGGCGGGAUACGUUGAGUUACGAGCAUUUAGUGACGUCACGUGUCGAUCUGAGAUGUAUGUCGGGAUUGGGGCGUGACAAUUUAUCCCAGCCAUCUUUUUCCAGAUUCUGACGGUUGUAGCGGCAACCAGCUGAGAAGAAGAAAAAAAAGAAAAAAAAGGAAAAAAAAAAAAAGGAAGCCUAGAUCCGCGACCCGGAUCUAGCCCAACCUGAUUCUAAAAUGCAUAUGGAAUAUUCUUAGUGUUGACCUUUAAGAAAUUUUCUCGGAAAUCCUCCUAGGCUAAUUUCGACGUCUAGAGUCCAUUUUUGACUUCCAUUUAGGAAAAUUUUGAAGUUUUAACAUAGUUGACCACCGGGCCGUCUUUGUUGACUUUUUAAGUUUGAUCGUUCACUUUUCGUUGACUUUUUACAAAAUUUGCCUGGGACCCCUCUUAGCGUAUUUCGACGCUCUGAUUACUAUCGGAGACUCAGACUUUCUUAGCUUGAAAUGAUGUGACAUCGCAAGUACCUAUGAGUGGGUCUUUUCUUUUAUAUAGUACAUAUAUAUAUAUAUUUGUUAGUUUCCAUUUAUAUAUUUGGUAAAGAAUUUUCUACGUUACGCCUAGAUUAGGGUAACGUAUAUAAAAAUUAACGUAUUGAAGGAAUUCAUGCAAAUAUACUACGUCCUACGAGAUACACAUGUAUGCGUAUUAGUAUGGAUGCUUUAAUGGUAUUUACGGUUUUGAAUAGUAUUCCAUUGACUAGGGUUAUUGAAUUAUCGAUUUACCAUUGCAUGAUCAUAUUUGUGUUAUCUGCUCAUCGUGUGUUGCACUGGUGUUAGUACUUGCCUAGGCUAGGGCCAGUCUUUCACAUGUAUGUUCAAUUCGCACUGUACGCUCACUUUGGAUCCAUUGUAGGUGCCAGUCCUGUCCUCGAUUGCAAUAGGCAAUUAGGACUCGUAUGUGACGUGCUUAGCACCCGUUUUCAUGUGAUUGUAGUACUAGAGCGUAAAUCAUUAUUACACCCAGUCCUAUUCAUGUCAGAAUACCUUUGCAUGAACUCGUGUGUCAACAUAUGUCGAUGAGCACUCGAUGUGAUAUGUUUAUUUCUGCAAGAUAUUGUGAUUACUAGAAGUUAUGUACCUAUUUACGAAUUUUGUGACGUAUUGAAUUCUUGAGAUAUUGCAAACUACUGUAAGUAUUUUCAUACUAUACGUAGUAUGUAUAUUUUGGAAACUAUACUUGCUUUACGGUGAGGGGUUAUAAUGUUUUCAAAAAGCUUUUUAUAAAACUUUAUUUUUAAGCCCACUCAUCCUUGUUUUUCGUCCCUCCAGGAUUUAGUGGCAAUGUUCGUGUCGACGAGGAUUUCUGGCAAACGUUGAUAUCGGAGACUACUUCCGAUGGUAUAAUUCUCAAUCUACUAUACUGUACUUUACUUAUGCUCUUAUAUCACGUGUGAAAUGAGUUCAUUCACGCUCACUAGCGCACUCUUAUACUUAGGCACUUCUAGAUUUAAAUUUACUCACAUUUUUCACAUCACUACUCAUUAAUGAAAUCUUUAUUUUCCUAAAAGAUUAUUGCCUCAUAUGAGAAAGUCCCUAUAAUAUAAACCCUAAAUUUGAAGUUUACAUAAUUUUAUGUGAUAAUUUCAUUGGAAGCUAAUUCUUUUAGUUAAUUUAACUUGAUUUUAUUGUAAAAUAUUUUUUGUGUAAUAUUAUUACCCAAAAAGGUUCAAAAUUCUCAAAGCCAAAUUUUAUUCCAAUGGAGUUUUAAUGAAAAGUCCGCGGUACUGUUCACUUUAACGAAAAACCACAUUUUUACACUAAAAAUUCAAACUUAGUACUAUUCAUUUUACCUUUUAUUUUGUCCUUAUCAUUAAAACUCAAAGUUUUCGAGCCAUUUUCAUUAGUUUUCCUUUUAUUUGGGAGUUUUAACGAAAAGUCCGCGGACCCGGCUUUGCAACCCGGACCCAGCUUCUCUGCUCUCCCAGUUUCCAUACACUCUCAUCCCCUCCUAUUUUGUGCGAUCACGAUUAAGCACGUUAACAUUUUAUAUUGAUUUUUUUAUAGACAUAAUAAGACAAAAAACGAUAGUGAUAUAAAAUAUUGACGUGACUUAACAUUUGACAAAAAUUGAAGAUAAUUUUGUUUUUUUGACUAAAUGAUCAAAAUAAUUGGUGGCGAAUAAAAUCAGAAAUCUCACUUUGAAGAAACGAAACUUCCGACGUGGUGGGCUGCGACUUUUGACUGAUUGAGAGUCCUCCAUCCGCAGCUCCUCCGUCUUCCUCCCAAGCCUUUUACCUUUUCUUUCUUUCUUCUCCAAAACUAGCAAUCUGAGAUUUGAACCUCUCUCUCUAAGAAGCAGCGGCAUGCUUUUCCAAACGUAAUCUGCAAUUUAAUCAAACAGCCACCGAAUUUUCUGGAAUCCUGUCAACGCAGAGAUGCUUCGGAUUUUGAUCGGUCAACGCCAGCUGCUUACCUGAGCUCCAAAAGAUCCAACAGUGAUGACGUCCUCCACCUCUGUUUCUGUUUGGCUGAUUCUGCUGUUUGGCUUCUUUCACCUCUACAAGCUUGCUGCCAAUGUCGUCUCUGUGUGUUAUUGAAUUUGGGAGUGUUUGGUUGUGGGAACCGGAAUGAACUAAUGAAUGAAUGAAUGAAUGACUGAAUGACUGGAAACAUUCCCGAAGAGCUUGGGGGUUUGUCAGACUUGGUGAGCUCGGAUCUUUACUUGGCAACCUUGCAAAACUGCGUUUCCUAUAUGAACCCGCAUCCUUUUGUUAGAUAAAAUCUAUCGUCUUUCUUUUUUAUUCGAUAUGCUAAUCUGCUGUUUUUAAUUGUUCCAUUGGAGUGACUUUCUUCCUUAAAGUCCUUGUGCCGGAUGCAUAUAAUUUAUAGUAUGAUCCCUGGUUUCAAGAUUCACAAGAAGGGAACAUCCAGUCAUUGCAAGUCCUGUGAAUUUCAUACACUUUCAUCUCAGUAAGAGGGAGGAGAGAGUGAAAAGUUACUAAUUUCUCUACCAUCGGAGAAUGCAAAUAACAUAUAGUUUUGCCAUGGAAUGCAGGGAUCUUUCAAAUAACAAUCUGACAGGGAAUAUUCCAGUUAAUGGAUUCUUUUCACUUUUUACUCCCAUCAGGUUUGUUGAAGCAACUUUACUCUUUUUCUUUAACUUUAGGGACAAAAAUAACAAUCUGACAGGGGAUACACUUUCAUCUCAGUAAGAGGGAGGAGAGGGUAAUAUAGCUUGAUCAAGUUGGUGUUGUAGUUGUUGUAUGGGAUGCAGCUCAAAAACUUUUCUUUGCGCGACCUACAAGUUGCAACGGAUACCUAUAGCGACAAAAAUAUUAUUGGUAGAGGUGGAUUUGGUAAGGUUUAUAGAGGACGCUUAGCUGAUGGAACUCUGGUUGCUGUAAAAAGACUUACACAGGAGAGAACCCAAGACGGGGAACUACAGUUCCAAACAGAAGUUGAAAUGAUUAGAAUGGCUGUCCACCACCGCAAUCUGCUUUGUCUGCAUGGUUUUUGCAUGACACCAACAGAAAGGCUGCUUGUAUAUCCUUAUAUGGCUAAUGGAAGUGUGGCAUCUUGUUUAAGAGGUACUCAUCUAAAUUGUUUGCUGCGUUGAUGAAUCUUUUUGUUUUCACGACGUUAAAUUUUUUUUCGAUCACAUUGAUAUAAUGAAUUUAAAAACCUGACCAAUUUGGCUUGGAGUAUCAGCACUAAUUUUUUUAAUGUUUUUUUUCCUUCAAUUUUAAGUUACCUUCUCGAUGCUGAUUUUAUUUCUGUUUAAUUUGAAAAGGAUGACAAGAAGACCCUUUUUUUGGGUAGGACGGGUGGUAUGAUAUGUGUUAGACCACAUUACCUAUUGCUUGUAAUUUGAAAUUCUCCUCUCAUAAGUAUGUGGAUAUAUUAUUGUAGGUCGUCCGGAAGGACAACCUGCACUUGAUUGGCCAAUAAGACAACGCAUUGCAUUGGGAUCUGCAAGAGGCCUUGCUUAUUUACAUGAUCACUGUGAUCCAAAAAUUAUUCACCGUGAUGUGAAAGCAGCAAACAUAUUGUUGGAUGAGGAAUUCGAAGCAGUUGUUGGAGACUUUGGGUUGGCUAAACUCAUGGACUACAAGGAUACAUAUGUUACCACACAUGUAUGUAGCACAUUUGGUCAUAUGGCACCGGAGCACUUUUCAACUGGAGUGUCUUCCGAGAAAACUGAUGUUUUUGGAUACGGAGUCAUGCUUCUUGAACUCAUCACUGGGCAGAGGGCUUUCAAUCCUCAGCUUGCGAGUGAUGAUGAUGUCAUGUUAGUUGAUUGGGUAUGCAUUUACGUCUUUCUGUUUGUGUAUGUAGCUAGUUUAUUGUUAUAUGAUUAUUUCCCAACAACAUUUGCAUUUCCUUAGUAAUUAGCUUUUAGAAAAUAAGUUUGGUUUAAUUAGCUUUUAUUAGUUAGAGUUAUGAUUAGCUGUGUAGAUUUUUUUAUCUUUAUUUAUAACAAUCCAAGGUUUAAACUGUCAGAGAUUAAUUAUUGCAUUUCCUUAGUAAUUGUUACUAUUGUUGUUGCUUCUUUUGCCAAUGUAUUGGCAUUUUGUGAUUUCUUGAAGAAUUUGGCAUAUGUUUUGUGUCGAUCCUAAUUUCCUCAUCAUCUCCUUAUUCUUGCUAUCUUGGCCUCUCGCUUUUUCCUAUUCUCUCUAUUGCAUCUUUGUCUUCUCUUUGCAUGAUAUCAAUAUUUGAAUGACGAUACAUUUUUGUAAGCAGUUUGAUUUUCUGUAGAAAAAAGUUUGAACAUUACAACACAUUUUUGUUCUCCUAGAUUCCCGCACCUUUUGUUUCAAAUUGUCGAACCACCCGACAAUUUCUGUUUUAUUUUUCCUAAAAAAAUUAGGUCAAAUGACUACUGAAAGAUCGGAGGUUGGAAAGACUUGUUGAUGCUGAUCUAAAUGGAAAUUAUAUUGACGAUCAAGUGGAGCAGCUGAUCCAAGUAGCUCUACUGUGCACACAAGGCUCCCCAGGGGAACGGCCCAAGAUGUCAGAGGUUGUCCAAAUGCUUGAAGGCGAAGGCGAAGGUUUGGCUGAAAGAUGGGAGGAGUGGCAAAACAAGGAGAUGAUCCGCCAAGAUUUCAACACUAUUCAUCAUCCAAGUACUUGGAUCAUAGACUCACCUUCUCCUAAUUUUGUGUUGUACUAUUUCUGUGAGUUUGAAGAAAUGGAUAAAAAGAAAGGAAAACCAAUGAAAAAGGCUUGAAAACUUUGAGUUUUAAUGAUAAGGACAAAAUAAAGGGUAAAGUGAAUAGUACCAGGAUUGACUUUUUAGUGUAAAAAUGUGGUUUUUCAUUAAAGUGAACAGUACCGGAUGCUUUUCGUUAAAGUUCCCUAAAAAGAAUGACAUGUGAUAGAGAGUUCAUCAUAUAGCUUCUGACUUUAAGGAUUUUUCAUUUAGUUCUAGUUCAUGUUGCGCAAAAAAUAUUAGGUAACACUGCUACUGGGGCUAUUGCAGGAGGGGUUGCUGUUGGUGCUGCUUUACCGUUUGCUGCACCUGCAAUUACACUUGCUUAUUGGCGACGGAGAAAACCACAGGAUCAUUUCUUUGAUGUACCUGGUUAGUGAACUAUAGGAGUAAUAUAGCUUGAUAAAGGUGGUGUUGUAGUAUGGGAUGGAGGUUUCACUAAUCUACUGUCUUUGCAGCUGAGGAGGAUCCAGAAGUUCUUUUAGGACAGCUCAAAAGGUUUUCUUUGCGCGAACUACAAGUUGCAACGGAUACCUUUAGUAACAAAAAUAUUCUUGGUAGAGGUGGAUUUGGUAAGGUUUAUAAAGGACGCUUAGCUGAUGGAACUCUGGUUGCUGUAAAAAGACUUAAAGAGGAGAGAACCCAACGUGGGGAGCUACAGUUUCAAACAGAGGUUGAAAUGAUUAGCAUGGCUGUCCACCGCAAUCUGCUUCGUCUGCGUGGUUUUUGCAUUACACGAACAGAAAGGCUGCUUGUAUAUCCUUAUAUGGCUAAUGGAAGUUUGGCAUCAUGUUUACGAGGUACUCUUCUAAAUUGUUUGCUGCGUUGAUAAAUCUUCUUGUUUUCACGAAAUUAAAAAAUGGGUAAAUUACAUUUUACACCCUCAGGUUUGAGUGUAAUUGUAACCUCAUACAAUAUUUUUAAAACAUUUCAAUUUUAUACAUUUCCUUAUCAUUUCUAGCAAUUUCAUACAUCUGUUAGUCAAACCGUGAGUUUGACUGUUAAGGAAUGACAUGGCAAAUGUGAGGUCCACAUUUUUAUUGACGGGGAUGCCAACUAUGAUUCACGUGGAAUAAAAACAAAUAAAAAAGAUUAAUAAAUAGAAAAUUAAAUUUUUUUAUAAUUAAAAACUAAAAAAAUAGAAAAGAUAAAAAAAAUGGUGUUGUUCAUCCCUUUCCUGCUCUCACCCCGUCCCCGCAUUCUUCAUUUCCCCCCGCCCACCAUCGCCACCUUCCCUUUCCUCAGCCACUGCAAUGAAUAGACCACAUUACCUGUUGCUUGUAAUUUGAAAUUCUCCUCUCAUAAGUAUGUGGAUAUAUUAUUGUAGAUCGUCCAGAAGGACAACCUGCACUUGAUUGGCGAAUAAGACAACGCAUUGCAUUGGAAUCUGCAAGAGGCCUUGCUUAUUUACAUGAUCACUGUGAUCCAAAAAUUAUUCACCGUGAUGUGAAAGCAGCAAACAUAUUGUUGGAUGAGGAAUUCAAAGCAGUUGUUGGAGACUUUGGGUUGGCUAUACUCAUGGACUACAGGGAUACACAUGUUACCACAGCUGUACGUGGCACAAUUGGUCAUAUAGCACCAGAGUACCUUUCAACUGGAAAAUGUUCCGAGAAAACUGAUGCUUUUGCAUACGGAGUCAUGCUUCUUGAACUCAUCACUGGGCAGAGGGCUUUUGAUCUUGCUCGGCUUGCGAAUGAUUAUGAUGUCAUGUUACUUGAUUGGGUAUGCUUUUACGUCUUUCUGUUUCUGUUUGUUGCUAAUUUAUUGUUAUAUGCAAGAUUAUUUUCCAACAAUAUUUGAAUGAGGUCCACCUUUGAGAGUUUUAACGAAAAGUCCACGGUACUGUUCACUUUAACGAAAAAUCAUAUUUUUACAUUAAAAAGUUAAUCCUGAUACUAUUCACUUUACUCUUUAUUUUGUCUUUAUCGUUAAAACUCAAAGUUUUGAAGCCUUUUUCAUUAGUUUUCCUUAAUAUCUUUCAUAUUUUAUAAAAUAAAAAAAAAGACAUAAUGUUGUUGAAAUUCAACGAUAUUCUUGCUUCGAUCUAUUGUUUCCCUAAGUCCAAAUCUUGGAAAUUAUGUUUCAAUACUCAUUUUAAAGAAAUGUUAUAUAAUAUACUGUAAAUUAGGUGUAUCUCUCGAUACCAAUGUUGCUAUUUAUUUAAGCCAAAAAUAAUGGGUCUCGACACCUAAUCACUUUAUUUCAAACCGCUAAUCUCAUAUGACAUUCUUAAUCAUUGUAUAUGGAACAUUUCUGCAAUCAUUUUAGUUGGUUCUUUGCAAUACUUUAAAAACCUAUUACUCAUCAUAGAGCUGCCAAGUUCCUGUCUAAUUAAUGUAAAAAUCACUUAGUCUUUUUUGGCCCGAAUAUUGAAAACAAUUAGAAUCAUGGAUCAAAGAAAAGAAAUAAUACUUAACUUUUAGAAAAUAACUUUAGUUUAAUUAGCUUUUAUUAGUUAGACUUACGAUUAAGCUGUGAAGAUUUAUUUAUCUUUAUUUACAACAAUCUAAGAUUUAAAUUGUCAGAGAUUAAUUAUUACAUUUCCUUGGUAAUUGUUGUUAGUAUUGUUGUUGCUUCUUUUGCCAAUGUAUUGGCCUUGCUGUGAUUUCUUGAAGAAUUUGGCAUGUGUUUUGUAUCGAUCCUAAUUUCCUCAUUAUCUCUUUAUUCUCGCUAUCUUGGCUCUUUCUUCUUUUUAUUCUCUGUUUGCAUCUUUGUCAUAUGUUCGCAUCACAUCAAUAUUUGAAUGACGAUGCAUUUUUGUAAGCAAUUUGAUUUUCUGGAGAUACUGCGGCCCUUCAAAUUUUGAACAUUACAACACAUUUUCACUCUCCUAGGUGCCCUCACCUUUUGUUUCAAAUUGUAGAACUAUCUGAUUUUGUUCCUUUUUAUUUUAACUAAAAUAAUUAGGUCAAAGGACUACUGAAAGAUCGGAGGUUGGAAACACUUGUUGAUGCUGAUCUAAAUGGAAAUUAUGUUUACGAUCAAGUGGAGCAGCUCAUCCAAGUAGCUCUACUAUGCACACAAGGCACCCCAGGGGAACGACCCAAGAUGUUAGAGGUUGUCUGGAUGAUGGAAGGGCGAUGGUUUGGCUGGGAGGAGUGGCAAAAAGAGGAGGUGUUCCACCAAGAUUUCAACCCUAUUCAUCAUCCAAGUACUAAUUGGAUCACAGACUCAACUUCUCAUAUUCCUCUGGAUGAGUUGUCUGGUCCCAGAUGAUAUGCUCGUUGGUUCUGUCCCCUGUAUACAUGUAAGAAGCCUCAGAGGACUGUAGAAGGUCCAUUUUGUAUUUCAGUGAUACAACAUUUGUGCAUAUGUUUUGUCUUUGUUUUCGAUUUUGUUUUUGUCUCUCGUAUUUUUUAGAUCACAAAAAUGGAGCUGGUGCUGUUGUAAUUUUUAUAGGGUUAACUGGCAUUACGAAGUUAUAUGGUGCUAGCAGGAAUUAGGAAGGGCCAUAAAAGCACCCAUUCCUGAUGAUUUAUGUAUCUAUCCAGAAAUUAGUUCAGAUUGUCGAGUAAAUAAUCAUUCUGAAGUUAUAACUAUAUAUAUUUUUUAGUGUUCCAAUAGAUCCUAUAGAUACGAUAAGGACACUAGGUCAAGUGCGUUCCUAUAGAUCCUUUAGAUACGAUAAGGACACUAGGUCAAGUGCACGGCUGCUUGUGGACGGAUAGUGUUUGAAAUUUCAUCGUGAUCAUUGCAAGUGUGACUUUGUGGCACUACCCUUAUAAGUACUUGAACUAAGGCAUUAGGGAUCAAGAGAUCACUUUGUGUCAUUCCAAAACAGGAAUUUGAGCUCUGUCUAUCCUCUUUAAAGUAUCGUCAAUGGGGAUCCCUCUACUAUCUUUGAGGAUUUAUUUAAGACCAACUGUAGGGUAAGACCCAAACCUAAAUUUCUAAGUUUAAACAAAAUAAAAAUGCAAUCUAAUUGUGGGAUUUUUUUGUUUUUUUUGAACAAAAUAUAUUAUCUAGAUUAGGUUAAGCUUUACAGUGGGCUAGUAAUAAUAUGGUUCAAAUUUGUCUUUGGCGAAAAUCGAACCUAAAGACCUCUAUUAUAUGUGAAGAGAAAUAUCAGUAAACUGUAGUACUAGAUAGUAUCUAAUGGUUGGACUUAAAGCUAAAAAGUUUGGCUUUUACCCAAGCUAAACCCAAAUUUGGGUUUUGUAUUUGGCAGACCCAAAUUUUUGGGGGCCCUACCUUUUUUUUUCUGAAAAGCAACGGGCGAAUGAUGUAUUGAAGUGGCCGACAGAUGGGUCCCUCACCUAGCAGAGUCCCAGCUGCAAAACAGUAACAGUUUAAGCAACUACGAGCCAUUCGAUUUGUGGGCCAUUGGUGAUCAACGGUCUAGGUUAAAAUCCUUUCAUGCUUUGCAAUCUUUAAAUUUUGAUCUAAUUGUUCAUAUAUAUAUUUUUUCAAAUCUAACGGUAAAAUAAAUCCAACUACUGAAAUUUAAAUUCAACGUCAAAAAUUAUUUUAUUUAGAACAUAUCCAUUAUACAUUUGGAUGGUUGGUGUGGUUUGUUCGGUUUUGAAUUUUUUGUUGAAAUUUAAUUUUUUUAAUGUCAAAACACUUGUCAAAUUAAAUUAAAAUAAUAUAAUUCAAAAGUAAAAAAUUUAAAAAAAAAUCCUACCGAAAAAAAAUUAGGGUUAAAACUAUAUUCCACCACAAUUAGUACAUUUUAGGCCAUGAAAUUUAGAUCUUGAUGGUUGGGUGAUAUUCACUUCAUAGACUUAAAUUCUGUCUUUUGAUGGACUAAAUAUUUGGGUUUGGGUGUAAAGGUUGGAGCUGGUCUAAGGACUUUAAUGAAAUCUUAUAUUUCUAAACGAGUUGCCUCAUAUGAGAAAGUCCUUAUAGUAUAAAUCUUAAAUUUGAAGUUUACAUAAUUUUAUGUGAUACUUUCAUUGGAAGCUAAUUCUUUUAGUUAAUUUAACUUGAUUUUAUUGUAAAAUAUUUUUUUGUGAACAUUAUUACCCAAAAAAGUUCAAAAUUCUCGAAGCCAAAUUUUAUUCUUUAGAACUACAAUAGCUUUCAUUAUUGGCUAUGUCAUGGUCUAUUAUUUCUGAUCAGAAUCAGACCUGGACUCUUUGCAACGCUUGGUCAACUAAAUGAAUUAUUAAUUAAAAGUAGCUUGAUAAUCAUUUUGUUUUCAAUUUUUAAUUUUUAGCUUAUACUUUUCUAUUAUGAAAUUAAUCAAAAUGGUUCAUGAAAUUGGCAUAAUUAAUCAUUUCGGUUCCUGAGAUUUGAAAUUGCUAGAAGUGAUCCCUGAGUUUGUUAACUAUCAAUUAUUUUGAUCAUUCGAUUAAAAAUCUCUAUUGAAUAAGAAGCAUGUUUAUACCAUAUUUAGGGCCUCGUAUUUAGACCUCGUAUAAAUACUCGGGGGACUUAAAUGUAAUUAUGUGAUAAAGGAAGGGGCAAAUAUGUAAUAAGUGAGGAGUCCUUAUUCUAUAAAAGGACCCCUCACCCUCACAAUUAGAAAAAGGCCUCACUCUCACUCUCGAAAAAGCCAAAUUCUUAGGCCCUCUCACCCUCUCUCAACGCUCUCACUCUCAGAGCUCUCUCUCCUUCAAAUAAAUACAAUCAGUGUGGACGUAGCACAAACCUUGGGGUGAACCACGAUACAUCUUGUGUUAUUUACAUUUCAUGCAGAUUCACGGUCGGAUUUACGUUGUUCCAAGACCUCCGGUUUUGUGCAUCAACAUUUGGCGCCGUCUGUGGGAAACGACACGAAAAGUUAUGUCGGUUCUCUCUCAAUUUUUCAUCUCCGCCGUGAAUCUGCAGAAAUCCAAGAACCCAAAAACCUCACUUUUUGGGUUUCUCCAGAAAACUUUCGCAGACCUCCAACCACCUCUGCCUCCUCUCUCAGUCAGUCAACACGGAAACCAAAGAUUUCAGCUGCAAAUUCACCUGCUUUUGCAGCCCAUCCACGCCACCAUGUCCUCAUAUUUCCACCGAGUUCCAAAGUGCUCACCAGAAAAAAUGAUGGCUUCCAUGUCUUUCUCUACAACUUUUUCAACACCUUUACAGAUUUUUCUCAAGCAAAAACAAAAAUAAGCACGAAUUCUUUAGCUUUAUGCCCUCCCAUGGCGUGUUGGAUCAAAUCCUCACUUGGGUCUCCUAAUCGGCAUUUUUUCGAAAUGGGUGGUCUUUCCAAUCGGAGAAUUUUAAUGGGUUUCUGAUCAAAUCUUGGUCUUUGGUUGUCUAUGCUAAAGCAGCUACAACAACAUCUCUAUAUAUCUCUCAUGUCCCUCAUCUCUAUCUUGUCCCUCAUCGCUCAGCCUGACACAUCAAUCAACACACCCAACUGAAAGAGGGAUAGUUUCGUGAUUACCCUGAUUCCGCCAUGGGCAUUCCCUGCGACGACAUCGUCGUUAUCAAGCCGAGGAAGGCUCCUGAUGAGCCAUCCGUCCUCACCGUCAACUGUCCCAACAAGGCCGGCCUUAGCUGCGAUUAGGAGAGGUUAAAGGAUCAGCUCUCGUCCGCGUGCCCGUCGUCGUGCUUCUUCUCAUUUUAUCUCAAUCAAAUCUCCAACGUCCCAACGCCUUCUUCGGUCUAUCUGUUGAAGUUUUGGUGCCACGACCAGAGAGGCUCACUCCACGAUGUUUGAGCCAUUGUGCGAUUUGGGCAAGAAUUUAUGGGAUCUCGCGGUGGCCCAGAUGGUUUAUGAUGAUGUUGUUGGGGUUGGAGUGGUCGAGGAGAUCAAAAAUCAAUGGCUUUUCUCAGUUUUCAGCAUCUGUCAAUUUGGCGGAGGAACGAAAGAUGCCAAAAUUAACUGCUGAGAGUACCUGGGAUUUUGAGAUGUGAUUCAUUAUUGUAUCUGAUAAACAACUUAGAAUUGUCUCUGCCACGUGUUCCACACCGAGUGCAUUGACAGGGGGCUGGAGUAUAAUGAUCAUCAUCAUCACCAUCACGACGAGGACAAUCACAAAACUUGCCCGCUCUGCAGGACUCCAUUAUUGAUGUCAUUGUAGAAGCGGAGCCUGAGUUGGGACCUUGCAGGCUUAAAAGGGACGGUCAAAUAAGAGGCUUAUUUCACUGAACAAAGUUAAACAGCAUGAAAAAGGAGAUUCAAUGUGCGGAGAUCCAGUAUGGAACUGGUGCAAUUUCAGGUUUCUUCCACCAGGACCAUGUCCAAGUCGGUGAUCUUGUUGUUAAGGAUCAGGACUUUAUUGAGGCAACCAAAGAGCCUGGAGUCACGUUUGUGGCAGCUAAGUUUGAUGGUAUUCUUGGACUUGGAUUUCAACAUAUCUCAGUUGGAGAUGCUGUUCCUGUCUGGUAUAAUUUGGUCAAUCAAGGUCUUGUUAAAUAACCAGUUUUCUCAUUUUGGUUAAAUCGCAAUACAGAAGGGGAAGAAUGGGGUGAGAUUGUCUUUGGUGGGGUUGAUUCUAGUCAUUUCAAGGGUGAGCAUACAUAUGUUCCCGUGACUCAGAAAGGCUACUGGCAGUUUGAUAUGGGUGAUGUCUUAAUUGAUGGUGAAUCAUCUGGAUUUUGUGCUAAUGGCUAUUCAGCAAUUGCUGACUCAUGCACCUCCCUAUUGGCUGGACCAACGGAAGUAUGGAGAGGUGGUGGAGGCUGUGAUCAUGAGGGAUCGUGCAAAAGGGGAGAUAAGAUUAAUGUACUUAUCAUUCCUUGUCUGCCAUCUACAAAAGAGAAAAGAAGACAGAAACAAAAGCAAAAGUAAAGCAGAAAAGGAAAAGAGAAAAGAAGAAGAGAGGAACAUGGAGACAUUUCAAAAGCAAGGAAUAAACACCCCACCAGAAUGAUGUAUUUUUUUUAUCUUUCGGAAAUAUCUGUAUAAACCCCAUCAGAGGGUAACUAAAAAAAAAUAGCAAAGCCCAAAACAAAUGGGCUGCCAUGUUGUGGAGGGCGAAGGCUCAUAAGCCCGAAAUAGCACCAACCAGGUGAUCAAAAGUACGCCUAGUACUCCACAAUUAUUCGGCAACCCACCGCUAUUACCACCAACCAGGUGAUCAAAAGUACGCCCAGUACUCCAAAAUUAUUCGGCAACCUGCCGCUAUUACCACCAACCAGGUGAUCAAAAGUAUGCCCAGUACUCUAAAAUUAUUCGGUAACCCGCCGCUAUUACCACCAACCAGGUGAUGAAGUGUACAACCCGUACUCUAAAUAUCAUUUGGCAACUAGCCAUUCAUGCCACCAACCAGGUGAUGAAAUGUAAACCCGUACUCUAAUAUCAUUUGGCAACUAGCCAUUCAUGCCACCAACCAGGUGAUGAAAUGUACAACCCGUACUCUCCUUCAUGCCACCAACUAGGUAAACAAAAGUACGCCCAAUACUUCAAAUUAUACAUGAGCAUUACUCAUGUCAAUCAUACAUAAACAUUCAUGAGCAUCACUCAUAUCAAUCAUACAUAAACAUUCAUGAGCAUCACUCAUGUCAACAUUCAUAAGCAUCACUCAUGUCAACAUCCAUGAGCAUCACUCAUGUCAAUCAAACAUUCAUGAGCAUCACUCAUGUCAAUUAAACACUCAUGAGCAUCACUCAUGUCAAUCAGCUUCAAAAGCUUCAUUUACAAAAGCUCUAGCUUCAAAAGCUUCAUUUACAGAGCUCCAGCUUCAAAGCUUCACUUGCAAAGCUUCAUUUACAAAGCUUCAGUGCAGGAUAUACAAAUACCACCUCCGAACAACCGCCACUUCGGCCCAUACAUGGAUUCAAUUUGAAGUCUCUAGCUAACAGACUCUAUUGACUGAAGACUUGAGGGACUACACUAUACACCAUAUAUUGGGCCUCAACUAGGCCUCAUGAAAAAUACUUGGGGGACUCUAGCCCAUUAUUUAUGUAUUGAGGAGCGAGCCCUUAUUUUAUAAAAGGGAUUCCCUCACCAUCAUUAGAGCAGCAUCAACUAUAGCCCAUUAUUCAUGUAUUGAGGAGCGAGCCCUUAUUUUAUAAAAGGGACUCCUUCACCAUCAUUAGAGAGCAACGCCGCCAGCUGAGCAACCGUCUCGCCGCGAGCAUCAACUCUAGCCCAUCAUUUAUGUAUCGAGGGAACGAGCCCUUAUUCUAUAAAAGGGACUCCUCACCAUCAUUAGAGAGCAUCAACUCUAGCCUAUCAUUCAUGUAUUAAGGAGCGAGCCCUUAUUCUAUAAAAGGGACUCCCUUAUCUUCAAACGCCGCAAGCCGAGCCAACCAAGGCGCCAUAAGCCACGAGCUGAGCAGCAUCGCAGCAUGUGCUACUUCUAAUUGAGCGUCAUUUCAGAUUGAGCACCGCCUCAUAUCAAACAUCAGUUCAAGAUAACAUCUAGUUACUUCGGCCCACACAUGGACUGAAUUUCAAGUCUCCAGCCAAAAGACUCUCUUGACUGAAGACUUAGGGGACUACUGUUUAUACCAUAUUUAGGGCCUCGUAUUUAGACCUCGUAUAAAUACUCGGGGGACUUAAAUGUAAUUAUGUGAUAAAGGAAUGGACAAAUAUGUAAUAAGUGAGGAGUCCUUAUUCUAUAAAAGGACCCCUCACCCUCACAAUUAGAAAAAGGCCUCACUCUCACUCUCAAAAAAGCCAAAUUCUUAGGCCCUCUCACCCUCUCUCAACGCUCUCACUCUCAGAGCUCUCUCUCCUUCAAAUAAAUACAAUCAGUGUGGACGUAGCCCAAACCUUGGGGUGAACCACGAUACAUCUUGUGUUAUUUACAUUUCAUGCAGAUUCACGGUCGGAUUUACGUUGUUCCAAAACCUCCGGUUUUGUGCAUCAACAAAGCAAAUGACAAAAAUAACCUCAAUUCAAUAAAUAAUGGACCGUAAUAAUUUGACAAAAAUUGAAGAUAAUUUUUUUUUUUUUUUACGAAAUGAUCAUGUUGAAUAAAAUCAGAAAUCUCAAAACAAAGUGAGGAAUUGCAUAACAAUUUCAGAUAUCAGCUAAAAAGUAAAAAAUAAAUAUAAACAAAAGAAGAAACGAAACUUCCGACGCUGUGGGCUGCGACUUUGACUGAUUGAGAGUCCUCCAUCCGCAGCUCCUUCGUCUUCCUCCCAAACCUUUUACCUUUCUUCUUUCUUCUCCAAAACUAGCAAGCUGAGAUUUCAACCUCUCUCUCUCUAAGAAGCAGCGGCAUGCUUUUCCAAACUCAAUCUGCAAUUUAAUCAAACAGCCACCGAAUUUUCUCUAAUCCGGUCAACGCAGAGAUGCUUCGGAUUUUGAUCGGUCAACGCCAGCUGCUCACCUGAGCACCAACGGGCCCAACAGUGAUGACGUCCUCCGCCCCUGUUUCUGUUUGGCUGAUUCUGCUGUUUGGAACCUCCAUAAGCUCGCUGCCAACAUAGAAGGUAUGUCUGUGUCUCUGUGUUUUUGAAUUUGGGUGUGUUUGGUUGCGGGAAUUGGAAUGAACUAACGAAUGAAUGAAUGAAUGAUUGGAUUUGACAGGUGACGCAUUGAACGCGUUGAAGACCAAUCUAGCUGAUCCAAACAAUGUUCUGCAGAGUUGGGAUCCGGCUCUCUACAAUCCCUGCACCUGGCUUCAUGUCACUUGUAAUAGCAAAAACAGGGUUACUGUGGUGUAAGCAAACCCAACAAACACCUCCUUUUCAAUUCAGUUCAAUUCAAUUCGAUUCGAUUCAGUUCAGUUCAAUUCACUUGUAACAGCGGAAAUAGCAUUACGGGAAGUUUUUAACAUUUUUGCUCCACCCAGUGAUCUUGCCAAUGCCAAUCUCUCUGGUCAUCUGGUGGCACAGCUUGGUGUGCUUUCCAAGUUGCAGUACUUGUAAGCAUGUUUUUCGCUCUGAUUUUUUGUUCGGGUCUUAUCCAACUGUUCCAUCACUAUGCAUUCGAAUUGAAAUUGGUAUUGAUACAUGACUGAUGAAUUUCACAACUGCAUUUGACAUUAUUGAAACACACUUUCUUGACAGGGAACUUUCCAAUAAUAGCAUAACUGGAAACAUUCCCGAAGAGAUUGGGGGUUUGUCAGACUUGGUGAGCUUGGAUCUUUACUUGGCAACCUUGCAAAACUGCGUUUCCUGUAUGAACCCCCAUCCCUUUGUUAGAUAAAAUCUAUCGUCUUUCUUUUUUUAUUUGAUAUGCUAAUUAUGCUGUUCGGCUCAACCCAAUAUUGUGGUCAAGGCAUGUAGCUUGAGUUUUGACUUUUUCUAGGAGUGGGUCCUGAACAGUAAGGGGCCUUAACAUCGGAAUAUUUACAUAAAUAUACUAGCGAUAGAACCCGCGCGAUGUCGCGAGUUUUAAAACUUUGUUAAACGUAUGCAAAUAUAUUAAAAUCUAAUUAUAUCCAUAUCAAAGAAAUAUCUAUUUACAUCCUCAUAUUCAAUAAGGGAAAAAGAUAUAUAUAUAAAUGUAGGAUAUAUCACAUAUUAAAAUUUGUCUACAUCCAUACCAAAGUCUAUUUGCAUCCUUACGUGUAAUAAUGAACAAAAGAUAGGUAUUUGAAGAAUACAUUACAUAGAAAAAGUUGUGGAUUAAGUUGUUCAUACAAAUACAAUCAUAUAAAAAUAUAUUCAUUUUCCUUGUCCCAACUUUUCUACAUUCAGUACUUCACUCUUCUUUCUUCUUUGUUUUUCUGUAGAUGAGGAUGUACAUUUUUCCUCAAGUAAUCUGUUCAAGAUAAAUUCAUUGGUUAGGCUUCUGAAUCAUAUGAGCCUUUAAUUGGCUUAUAAAAAUGCUCAUUUUUCAUAUGAGAAGGACAACCAGUUUAGAGUUUCGAAAGAUAAAUAAAAAUUCCAAUUCUCACCAAGAAAAAAAGCCGAAGAAAUACAAUGGGUUUAGAUGAGAGACGAAGUCUUUACCAACUAACAAAUGAAGUAAAUCAUGUUGUUCAAUACUUGAGCUUCCAAUUUAGUACACUUACAUCUUCAAUCUCCAACAAAACAAAACAAAAAAAUUGAAAAAUCAUUUAGUAUAAUUGUCACAACAUGUUGAAGAUGCAUGUACCCAACCAAUUGCUUCACCGUUCACCUAUAUCCUCGGUGCUAUAAAUUCGAAUAAAAAACCAGUAAAUAAAAGUGGUUAAGCAAAAACCCUCACUUCUCAUUACAUGUUGAAAUUUCUUUAAGCUCUAAACCUACUCCCAUUGUGUUACUUUUGUAGUGCAUGUUGUGCCUUGGUCGUUCGUCAGUGCAGAAGUGAGAUUCAGAUUGUCUCACCAAACUACAGACCCACAGUUGAACAGUUUAAAUUACAAGAAAUAAAUACACUGAGAAAUUUACGAGGUUCGGCAAAAAUCUGCCUACGUCCUCCAAGAGAUAUUGCUCUUCACUAUGAGAAUAACUAGUACAAGAUACACUUGAGUUAAAUUAACAUAACCCAAACCCCAAUCCUUUGUACCCUCACAGAAUUUUACUAAGAGCCUCACUCUCUCCAAGAGUUUCUCACUCUCACUCUAUAUUUUCUCUCCUUUGUGUUCUCCUUCGGAUGCUCUCUCAAAUGCAUUUCUAAAUGCACAAAUAUUGCAUCUAGUUAUACGCAUACACUAGCAACUAUGCCAACAAACAAGACCCAAAAGUCUUAAGUUCACAUGACAUAAUUAUCACCUAGCCUACCUAGCAUGCAUCAAAGUCUAUACCUAGUCUAUAAAGUACAACUUUUCUCCAUUUGUCAUUUAAUACAUAUAAAAUAAAACAUGCACAAUAAAACAUGCACAAUUGUGUGCAAGCAACCAUAAAGUCAAGUCUUGCUUCCAACUUUGCUUGUGGUAGUCACCAUGUCUUCUCUUGAAACAAGACAUCCAUGCCAUAACCGAAAGCCAAACACAAAGUGGUUACUGCCAUUUCCCUGUAGCACUCAGAAAGUUACACUAUCAAAAUUGUUGCCAACUCAUAAGUAUAUGAGCCAAGCACAACAGUGCAUACACUACAAAAACCAAAAAGAAAAUGCUGCAAAGGGGAAAUUGGAAAAUCAUAUCACCAGCAAACAUUGCACGAAAGGCAUCUGAAGAAGCAAGCAGGCAAGUUCUGUGAGCAUACCAUCUACCUGCAAUUGGUCAGUAGAAAUUUAAAGAGGUACUUUAUGUUAACAAUACAAUCACACACGCUAAUUGAAUACUCUGUGAUUAAGAAAAAGAAGAGGAACUCACGCUGUGCUUCUUGAAAACUGGCGAGAGAACUGGAACUGGGUUGGAAGAAUGUACUGGAAGCAAAUGGAACACCCCAGCUUUUUCAGCCUCGUCAUGAAAUAAUAUUAACAAUUCGGUCAAGUAUAAAACCAUCUGCCAGUUAUGGUUUUUGUAAAUUAUGUAGAAGCCAAAUAUCUAAUAAAUAGUCUAACAAUAAUUAAGUAAUCUGGUUUAAGAUUAAUCAAAAAGCUUGGGAAUUUCAGCUGUUAAAUCACACCUCAGGCUGCAACUCGACAAAGUCUGCGAAAUCACAAUCCAAAAUGCGAUCUUCAGUCUUCCGGCCUCUGUUGCAAAAAUUAAUCCCACAGUCCCCAAAAAAUAAAAAACUUGAAGUUUGAUUUGAAAUUAAAAAUUCAUUCUUUGAAGAUAAAUUCCAAAAAUUUAAAAUUAUAUGCGAGAGAGAGACCUUGUUAAUAUUCGGAGUUAGAGUGAGGAGUUCUCGAAUUGGGAGCGGCGGGGUUUCGUUGCAAAUUUUCCGAAGAAAAUUUCCACGAAUGAAGGGUCAUCGCGAUUUUUUGGCUGGAGGAAAUGAGGUUUUAAGAUUUUUGGAAUUUUGAGUGAAUGGACAGUGUGGCUGGUUGCGAGACAGAGAAAGAGAAGUUGGGGUGUUUUCGUCCCCUUUAAUAUCUGUUGUUGUUGCGAUUAUUUGUGAUUUAAUUAGCACUUUCUUUUCCACGAAAUAGGCGCCCAUACAACAACAGCUUGUCAGGGCGUAUUCCCGUGACUCUGACUAACAUUCAAUCAUUGCAAGUCCUGUGAGUUUCGUACACUUUCAUCUCAGUAAGAGGGAGGAGAGGGAAGUUGCUAAUUUCUCCGCCAUCAGAGAAUGCAAAUAACAUAUAGUUUUGCCAUGGAAUGCAGGGAUCUUUCAAAUAACAAUCUGACAGGGGAUAUUCCAGUCAAUGGAUCUUUUUCACUUUUUACUCCCGUCAGGUUUGUUGAACCCACUUUACUUUUUUUUUCUUUACCUUUUUUCCUGCGGUGGCUGUCCCAGCGGACGAUCUAAAUGAUGUACUGACUGCUAUUAUUCAUUUUGUAGUUUUUCCAAUAAUCCUCGUCUGAAUCCACCUCCUCCCGUUUCUCCAACCCCACCAAGUUCUCCAGGUUUUUACAACUUAUACUGUUCUUGUGAUAUUAACUCAAAUUUAUUUUGAGAACAGUUGAAUAUCAGAGUACUAGACUACAAAAUAAGAAUAUUAUUACACAAAUAAGAAUGGCAAAACGGUUGCAAAAUUUAAAAACACUACAUUGUGACACACUUGUUCUAAAGAAAAUAACAUGCAUCCUAUUUAUAAUAAAUUAUAACCUUAAUCUCUAACAAAUCCUAAUUUUAACGGGCUGACCUCAAAUCCUAAACUUAUUACUUUCCAGCUGGCUCUGUUUUGUUUCACAGACACUUGUGAUAUCGACUCCAGUCCAUUGGUAGUUAAUGUUUUUUCUUGGUGUUUUUCUGUUAAAUUUUUUUCAUAGUACAACAUUAUUGUUGGAAUCACUGCUGUAAAGAUUCUAAGAAGAUGGUAGUUAGGAAAGGAAUGGAUUGAGGAUCCGAGAGGAUACUCCUAAAUUCCUAUGAGUUUGAAGAAAUGAAUUAAAACAAUGACAUGUGAGAGGGAGUUCAUCAUAUAACAUCCGACUUUUAAGGAUUUUUCAUCUCGUUCUGGUUCAUGUUGUGCAAAUAACCCUUCCCUUUUAACUCUGGUGGUUCAUAUUAGGUGCCGGAUUCGGUGAAAUAGUGUCCGGAUUCUGUAUCGGUACGGACGUACCAUUACUUUAGCGAUUCGGUGGUGAAUUCAGUGGUUCAUCUAAUCAUAUCUGAUAAUUUCUAAUCAGAUUACAGAAAAGAAAACGCACCUGUAAUUUUUGGAAAGAGAGGAGCGAAACAACUGGAAUUUUGGGAAGCUCGGUGCUUCUGGUUUUCAUCGGGCAGAGAGAAGACGAAGAGGGAGAGGAAGAGAGAAAAUAUUACUUUCACUUUUUGGAUUUAAUUCUUUUGAUUCGAACAAAAUUUGUUGAAUUGAGGUAGCAGAUCUCUUGCAAUCUACAACUCUCCAACAAAACAAUGACUGUGUAUUUCAAGUUUGUAAAUUUUCACCUUUUUUUUUAUUUUUCACCAGAUAAGUUAAUUUCUAGAUUUGUUCAAUUUGGACUGUUAGAGAGAUUUGUAAAGGGUGGAGAGAUCACGUGUUUGUACAAGUGGUGAGAUUCUUAUGUUAAAAAUUAUUAAUAACAUAAAAAAUAAAAUUUUCCACAAUUUAUAUAAUAACACGUGAUGUAUCACUUGUGUUACGAUCACAAGGAUAAAAUUUUCAAUAUAAUGGAUCUAGAGUAAAGUACAAAAAAUUACUUCAACUAUUGGUGUCACGACACUUUCAUACCUCAUCUUUUAAAAUUGAUAAUGUCAUACCUCAUCUUAUGAAUUUGUGUCCAUGUUAUACAUUCCGUUAGGUUGGCGUGCAUUUCUCAGUUAAAUGCUGACGUGACUUGAUCUUGGGGCAAUUUUCUAUUAAAAAAUUAUUAAAAACUAAAAAAAAAUAUUUAAUAUUUUUUAAAUAUUAAAAAAAAAAAAACCAAACAAACACUCAGUCAGUUCAUCCCCUCCCCCCUUCUCUCUCUUCUUCCCCCUUCCUACAACUCCAACCCAGAAAAAAGAAGAGAGAAAAAAUAAAAAACCAAUUUGUCUUCCCCCUCCCCACCCCCUCUUCUCCCCGCACCCACUCUCCACACCCAACCACCCCACCUUCGCACCCAACCUCGCACCCAUUACCUGCAACCCAAAAAAAAACAAAAAAACCCAGAAGAAAAAAAACCAUAUCCCGUUGAGGUGGAAUCGGGAAGCCUUCGCCAGGCCGAUUCCGAAGGUUGAGAACCUGGGCGCGAAGAAAAUGGGGGGAAUGGGUGUGGAGGGAAGAGGGUGGGUGCAGGGGGGACGGACGAACUGGGUUUCUUAAAACAAAAAACAAAAAAACCCAGAAAAAAAUAAUAAUAUCCCGUUGAGGUGGAAUCAGACCUGCAGCGAACACAAGGAACUGUUGUCCAGAGAUCCCGCCCAAAAGAGUUAUGGGUUUACCAAACUCUGUUUGGGUACCAAGUAUUGGAACCGGGUAAAUCUAGACCCUUCUCUGCGACUAGAUCAUAUAAUCUCCAUAGCUGUCCAAAACGGACUACUAUUGGAUCCUCUUAAGUUGCUUUCCAGCGACUAGAGACGAUAGGCGCAUUGAAGAAUUCUUCGAUCGAGACUGCCAGAUCAAUAGCCGUCGUCAAGUAUGCCUUCGCCAGGCCGAUUCCGAAGGUUGAGAACCUGGGCGCAAAGAAAAUGGGGGGAAUGGGUGUGGAGGGAAGAGGGUGGGUGCAGGGGGGACAGACGAAUUGGAUUUCUUAAAACAAAAAAACCCAGAAAAAAAAAACCAUAUCCCGUUGAGGUGGAAUCGGGAAGCCUUCGCCAGGCCGAUUCCGAAGGUUGAGAACCUGGGCGCGAAGAAAAUAGGGGGAAUGGGUGUGGAGGGAAGAGGGUGGGUGCAGGGGGGACGGACGAACUGGGUUUCUUUUCUUCUUCUUCUUCUUCCUCCUUCUUUCUAGGUUUUUUUUUGGGGAGGGGGGGGACUGGGUUGGGUUAGGUUUUUUUUGUUUUUUUUUUUCUUUUUCUUCUUCCUCCUCCUCCUUUUUUUGGGUUGCAGGGGGUUGGGUUUGUGGUGGGGGGUUUUUUUUUUUUUUUUCCUUCUUCUUCUUCUUCCUCCAUCUUCUUUCUGAGUUUGUUGUUAGGGGGGGGGGAGAACUGGGUUGCAGGAAGAUGGGGAGAGAGAGACGGGUGGGAAGGACGAACUGACUUGAGGUUUUUUUCUUUUUUUCUUUACUUUUCUUUAUUAUUUUAAUAUUUAAAUAAUAUUAAAUAAUUUGUUUUAGUUUUUAAUAAUUUUUUAUUAACUUUUUAAUAGAAAAUGGGUCUCGGAUCAAGUCACGUAAGCAUUUACCUGAGAAAUUCACGCAAACCCUAACGGAAGGUAUAACAUUGGCAUAAAUUCGUAAGAUGAGGUAUGACAUUGUCAAUUUUAAAAGAUGAGAUAUGAAAGUGUCGUGACACCAAUAAUUGAGAUAGUUUGUACUUUAUCCAUGGAUCUAUCAGCACUCUUUUCUUAUUAUGUUAGUGGAGGGACCCAUCUGCAGUGUUGAUAUUUUUUAUAGAAGAUGUAAACAGUCGGUGACCCAUAGCAUUUCCCAAGUUCCAUAUUAAUUUGACAAUAUUUAUAUUAUUCUGAUUAGAAAUUUAACAGAAUUAAUUGUUUUUUAUUUGUAACAAAUAAUUGCUUACAAAUAAUCAAUUCUAUUAAAAAUAAUUGCUUACAAUAAACAAUAACUAUAAUUAAAAUGUAUAUAUAUUAUAAUUUUUUUUAAUUUAUAUUUUUUAACGAAUUGAGAACGAAUCGAGCUAAAUAUCAUAUUGUCUAUGUGUACACACUAACGAAUAGUACUAUAGGUUACAACCGAAUUCCGUACCCGAACAGAAUUACGAACUCGCACCGUGCCACUAAUACUGCGGCUGUUGCUGGUGCUGCUUUGCUGUUUGCUGCUCCUGCAAUUGCACUUGCUUAUUGGCGACGAAGAAAAUCACAGGAUCAUUUAUUUGAUGAACCUGGUUAGUGAACUAUAAGAGUAAUAUAGCUUGAUCAAGUUGGUGUUGUAGUUGUUGAAUGGGAUGCAGGUUUCACUCAUCUACUGUCUUUGCAGCUGAGGAGGAUCAAGAAGUUCAUUUACGACAGCUCAAAAGGUUUUCUUUGCGCGAGCUACAAGUUGCGGAUACCUUUAGCAACAAAAAUAUUAUUGGUAGAGGUGGCUUUGGUAAGGUUUAUAAAGGAUGCUUAGCUUUGGCUUUUGGUAGAGGAGGAUCAAAAGUAUUAUUGGUCGAGUUGGCUUUGGCUUUGGCAAGAUUACAAUUCAACAGUCCGGUCCCAAAUGAUAUGCACAUUGGUUCCGUUCCCUGUAUACAUGUAAGAAGCCUUCAGAGGACUAGAGAAGAUCCAUUUUGUAUUUCAGUCAUACCACACUUGUGCAUAUGUUUUGUCUUUGUUUUUUAUUUUGUUUUUGUCUCAUGUAUUUUUUAGAUCACAAAAAUGGAGCUGGCGUUGUUUUAAUUUUUAUAGGGUUAACUGGCAUUACGAAGUUAUAUGGUGCUAGCAUGAAUUAGGAAGGGCCAUAAAAGUACUCGUUCCUGAUGAUUUAUGUAUCUAUCCAGAAAUUAGUUCAGAUUGUCGAGUAAAUAAUCAUUCUGAACUUAUAACUCUCUAUAUUUUUUUAGUGUUCCUAUAGAUCCUAUAGUUACGAUAAGGACACUAGGUCAAGUGCAUGGGUGUUUGUGGAUAGAUAGUGUUUGAAAUUUCAUUGUGAUCAUUGCAAGUGUGACUUUGUGGCACUACCCUUAUAGGUACUUGAACUAAGGCAUUAGGGGAUCAAGAGAUCACUUUGUGUCAUUCCAACACAAGAAUUCGAGCUUUGUCUAAUCUCUUUAAAGUAUCGCCAAUGGGGAUCCCUCUACUAUCUUUGAGGAUUUAUUUAAGACCAACUAUAGGGUAAGACCCAAACCUAAACAUUUGAGUUUAAACAAAAUAAAAAUGCAAUCUAAUUGCGGGACUUUUUUGUUUUUUUGAACAACAAAUAUUUUCUACACGAAAAGGGUGGGAGAUUAGGUUAAGCCUUACAGUGGACUAGCAAUAAUAUUGUUCAAAUUUUCUUUUGGCGAGAAUCGAACCUAAAUACCUCUCACUUAUAUGUGAAGAAGUAAUACCACUAAACCGUAGUACUAAGUGGCAUCUAAUGGUUGCACAUAAACCUAAAAAGUUUGGCUUUUGACCCAAGCUAAACCCACAUUUGGGUUUGUAUUUGGCUGACCCAAAUUUUUGGGGGCCCUACUUUUUUUGUUUUUGAAAGGUGAAAAUUGUUUAAAAAGUAAGACUACUUGUGGGUUAAACUACCGCAAACCCUCAGUUAGCAUGCAAGGUUUUAUGAAGAGUUAAUGAUCUCAUUCAGAUUCAGGAUGGAACUUCAUCUUCCUUAAUUGUACUAAAGCAUAUUAACUUACAUGACGUUAUGUGUGAAAAUUAUAAGAAAUUGCGCCAUUCAUCUAUUGUCAAUUGGUUUAAAAAGUGAAACUCAUUUUCUUUCAAAUUUUCAUAAAACUGAGGCUAAACGUAUGUGGACCUAUUGAAAAUGUUACAUUUCGAGUUUCUACUCUAAAAUUUUCACAAUUUAGUGCGAUUAAUUUUGUACUUAAUUUCCCAUUAAGGUAGGUCAUAGGCCAAUUAUGUACCAUGAUUACCUCUUAUUAUAAGAUAGAAGUGGGGAGAUUCCAAACAAUAUUUCAUCAGCCAAAGACGAAUCAUAUUGGCCUAAUAAAAGAAAGCUAGGACGCGAUUUGAAAUAAUGAAAACCGUUGUGGCAUAUAUAUUGAUGUUAAUCAAACCAAUAUAUCACGAGAUAAAGUAUAAUUCUACUUUGUUUGAUGAAUCCAUCGAAAUCCUAUUUAAUUUAAGGAGAGGGGCAGAUUACAUCGGUUUGGUUUGACAAUAAAAAAUAAACUGAAUCAAAUAGUAUUCAGUGGUUCAGUUCGAUUCAAUUUUGAUCAAUACCACUAUUCAAAUCGAACUAAACCAAAUAAAAAAUGGAGAGAUCAUAUCGGUUUGAUUUGGUUUGAUUCGGUUGGUUUAAGCCUAUUCAACACAUAAAUAAAAAAACAUUAUACAUUUUAAGAGUUUUAUUCUUCUAAACAUCACACAUCUUGCGCGUUCCAAUUGGAUUGAAAGAUUAAAUUUUUCGGAACAUAAAAGUUCAUCAAGUCAAAUAGAACCAAGUUUCAAUUAAAUAAAGUCUCAUGCUAGCAAACAAUUUAUUAGCUAUAAACCUCAUAUAAGCAUGAAAUACAUAUAAUCAGCUUAUUGUUAAUAAUCAUUACAACUUUGUAAAAUUAAACUAAUUAAUAAUUCAAAGAGACAUGGUCAGUUCGAUUUGGUUUUGAUCGAUUUUAAAAGUAUCAAAAUAGAACCAAAAAAAAAAAUAAAUUGUUUUGGUUCGAUUUUUAAAUUAUUUGUUUUUACUUGAUCACCAAACAGACCAAAUUAAUUUUGUUUGAACCAGUUGAUUUGGUCGGUUUUAAUGCUCACCCCUAUCCAAAAUGCAUGGCUACCAACACUAGAUAAAUUGUAAAUGAGAAAUGCUAAGGAGACUCUCUCAAAAGUAGGACUCUCCAUAGACUUUCUAUCACCUCAUGUUUUUUGCACAAUAUUUUAUAAUGUUGGCACGAAAUUAAUGUUAAACUAUGACGACCCGUCCUUAAUUUUAUGAUUUUAGUAAUUUUAAAAUGUGUGAGAAUUGACGAAAAUGCCCCUAGAGGCGAGGGCGUUGACUUUGUUGACGGUCUUUUUGUGACGCGUUCGAGCUACUAUUUCACCGCAUUCUCGAACUACUCGACGAUACAGACACGUAGGCACAAGCAGAAUCGAAUUCGGAGUUGCAAUGAAAAUUUUACAGAUUUACGAAGUCGAAGAGCAUUUUAAUAAUUUCAUCAUCAUCCUAAAUAUUUGGCUCUCUAUUAUUUUAAUAUUUUCCCUUGAAUUUUUGGUCCAGUGGGACUCCCCACUUCUUUUCCCCCAAAUCUCAUGCUUCCAAAUCACUCGGAACUCUCUCUCUUCCCUAUAUCUUCUUCCUCUCAUCUCUCACCUUUCUCUUCUCUCUGUAUAAAAAAAAAAAAAAAAAAAAAGGUGGAGCCGAGCAGUACAACCACCACCUCACCACCUUUCCAGUGAACUACACCUGAACCACCAUACCAUGUCCCUCUGUCUCUCUCUUGUUAUGCAUCUUUCUCCCUCAAUCUCCAUGUCGUCUCUCUCAUCUCUACAAACAACAGGACAACCGUGAGGUUAAGGUCAUCACCAUCGCCGUCUUCCAUGGCAGAUGACCAUCGAACCAAUGUUCCCAAGAUAUCAUAUCAUCUGAAACCUAGCCUAGGUUUAAUUCCAGACAUCCCAACGGGAAUAGCUCUCGAAUCUUAGAGUUCUAACACUGCGGAGACUAUUCAGCAUGGAUCUCACCACUUUCUAUGAAGGUGAGUGUCGAUUAUGCUUUGUGUGAUCUCCCCCUUGUGGUUUAAAAUGACUUUUAGGCUUAAUGAGUGAAGUUUGGAUUGGUUUCAUGACAUAAAUGGCAAGGGAGGAAGUUUUCCAGAUUUCUGGAAAAUUAGUAACCGUGGUCAUUUGACAACUUUCAGGCCAUUUUUUUGGCCAACACCGACCUUAACUCGGCCUCACCUUGGUAUGGUGUUUCUCUCUACAUUUCUAACUUCAAAAUGGCUCUUGAAUUAUUGAUUUUGGUGGGAGAAUCAAGCUCGAUAUAAGCUCUGGAAGUCGGACAAAAAACCUGCAAAAUGCAGGCCUUCGCAAGGAAGCUGAGUACAAUGGUACUUGCAGGCACGUAGGCAUGCGUGGGCUUUACAUGGGUCAUCGGCGCGUGGAGAAACCCGAGGUCCCUCUUUAGGUUUCUCGACAUGCUGGACCCGAAUCCGCCCUCAUUUUUCCCCACACUUUGUAUGAAAAUGUGUUUAUACGUUAGUACUUUACGUAUUUACAUAUAUGGUUUCGUUUCUAGGCGAAAUGCCUCGAAAGGACUCUCGAUGCUACGAGUCGGGUUCGACUCAACGACAGGAUUUGUGAGUGGGUCUUUUCUUGAUACAUACAUACAUACAUACAUACAUACAUACAUACAUACAUAUAUAUAUAUAUAUGUUUAGUUUCCAUAUAUACAUCUAAUAAUGAAUUUUCUAUAUGAAUGUCAUAGUUAAAUUAAUAUUUAUAGAAAAUGACGUAACGAAGAGAAUUAGGAAAAUCAUUAUGAAUCUUACGGGAUGCCUUAGCUAAAUUUACGGCUAUGAAUAAUAUUAUGUUGACUAGAAUUAUCAAAUCAUUAUGGCAUGGCUACAUUUAUGUUAUUUGCUCAUCGUUUGCUGCACCGGUGUUAGUACUCGCCUGGGCCAGGGCCAAUCUUUCACGUGUAUGUGCACAUCGCACUGUACGCUCACUUUGGAUCCCUUGUAGGUGUCAGUCCUAUCGUACAGGUUGCAAUAGGCAGCUUCGACUUGUAUGUGUUGCGCAUAGCGCCAGUCUUCGCAUGAUUGUAGUACUAUAGUGUAUAUCAUUGUUACACCCAGUCCUAUUCAUGUCAGAAUACCUCUGCAUGAACUCAUGUGUCAGCAUGUGUCAAUGAGNCCACUAAACCGUAGUACUAAGUGGCAUCUAAUGGUUGCACAUAAACCUAAAAAGUUGGCUUGACCCAAGCUAAACCCACAUUUGGUUUGUAUUUGGCUGACCCAAAUUUUUGGGGGCCCUACUUUUUUUGUUUUUGAAAAGCAAUGGGCAAAUUAUAUUAUAUACUAAAAGAGAAAAACGCCUGAAUCACUAUUCAUAGUACAGUGGAUUUUCGAUUUUGUCCUCGCUUAUUUGUCUAUUAUUAUAGCCUUGCCCCUAUUGCUUUGCUGUCAAAUGCUUAACAGUUUCGCGACGCGUGGAAAUUCCGGAGCCUUCUUUGUUAUUUUUCCCUCACCAUUUGGCUGUUUCCUCGCCCACCGCAUAAUUCUUCUACUGCUGCCAAUCCAUAAACCACAACGCGAAUCCGACCGCCUCUUCUUUCCCCUUCACUUUCACGGUUCCACCCCAACAUCAUCGGUAAGCUUUGAAACGUUUUUAUGGGUGUGAGUUUCUGAAUGCAUGUCUAAACUUUGAUUGGAAUUUGGUUGUUUCCUUAAUUCCCAUCAACCCUUCUCACAACUUCAUCUAAAAUGCUCUGCAUGUAAGAUCUGUGUUCGUGUAGGUCAUUUCAAAGGGAUUUCAAGCUGGGUUGCAAAGAUUUGAUUCAAGUUUGUGGAUUUGGGUAAGAAAUUAAGAACCCCUAAUCUUUUCUUAAGGUUUUAAAUGCCACAUGCAUCACAAUAAUCCAUUCAAAAUCACAAUUUUCCUCCGUGCUUCCUCCGUUAUUUCUUCACCAUCAACCUUGCGGCAACUUCCUUGCCGAUUCGAGCUGCUCGACCAUGACAUGAACGCCGCCUCCACACGUUUGACUCGCUGUACGUCCUUGGCUUGCCGCUCUCCUUAUCUCCCGGUGAUUCAUUCUCCUCAUUGGAUUCUAUUUGGGUGAGUUCUUGGUUGAUACUCGCCCCCAUGAUUUUUCAAUUUGGUUUUUUUGGGUGUCUUUAGUCGUCGUGUUGAUAAAAAUUUUCUGCGUUUUUUUGCUUUUCGUUUGUGGUUUUUUUUUAAAUUUUUUUGGGGGUUUGAUGAAUGAAUUUGUGUGGGAGUUUUUGAAGUUUUAUUAAUUAUGUUGUAUUUGGGCCCCUGGGUAAGCUUAGAAACCUUUGUAGAUGUCGCAUGCAUGUAGAUUUUUCUUCAAACAUAUGAAGAAUUGUUAGUCUGCUGUACAAUUUCCUCUGCCACCCUUGGAAAAUCAACAUGCACAGACAUUUUAGAAUUCUUCAUUUAAAUUUGCAGGGUUCAGGACAGUUUUUCUUUUAAAGUUAUGGGUUCUUUUGAUAUGAUUUUUUUUUAUUUGAAUUAUUCAUUUAAUUUUUGAGAUCUUUUAGCAAAUCUCCAAAUUGACUCAUAAUGAUUAGGCUUGAAACAGAUGCUAUAAAUCAGUUUUGGUGGAGGAGUUGUUCCGCAGCCUCAGGAAAAAUAGAGGAAUGUUUUUGAAAUAAGGUCUGAUCGAAACUUUUGUAUAAAAUUUCACAAUUUUUGAGUUUUAAGCCAUUCAAAUUCACAUUUGCCUACAUUAAUAUAUUAAGUAGGUUACUUAUUGAUUUUUUUUUGGGAUUUUCUGUUUUUCAUGGUUUCCUAAUCCUUUGUCCGACUUGAAUGUGUAGCUAAGCAUACCAGCAAAUCAAAAGGUUUUUUGAGACGGAGGGGUGCUCUGGCUAUUCCAAUAGUUUCGGUACUGCUAGCAUGUGGUAUUAAUCAUUGUGUUGCCUUUGCCAUGCUAAGCGGAUAAAAAAAGAGUAAAACAAAAGGUAUGAGAAGUAGUCAUCCCCUCUGAAUUGUUUAACGGUUUGAUCUAAAUAAAAGCAAUGCAAUUUCAUCUUAAUGAAUGUCUACAAUUGGUUCAUGUGAUAGCACAGACUAUACGGAGAGAGAUGAACUUGAAGAAGCGAGGAGACACCCCGAGUUGCAAUAUUUCGGUCUGAGCACCAUAAUAGCAGCCACAGAUAACUUCUCACCCAUUAACAAACUCGGCCAAGGGGGUUUUGGCAUUGUUUAUUAGGUGAAUCCCAAUUCAGAAGUCUUACACAUUUUACAAUUGAAUGAUUUCUUCUAAGCAUUAUACAGUAAUUUUGUUCUGUUUCUUAUGUCUACUGUUUUUUUUUUUUUUUUUUUUUUUUUUUUUUUUUUUUUUUUUAUAAAGCAUGAAAGCCUAAUAGUAAUACUGAUUCAUUACUUCAGGGCCACUUGCCAAAUGGUCAGAUUAUUGCUGUAAAAUAUGUAGAUUGCACUUGAACAAGGUUUGUUUCUCGAAUCACAUUCAUUAGUUAGAUUAUUAAUGUGCUUCGAGAGGGGUUUUCAAUAUGAUUUUGUAAUUUCCCUUGAGAACUGUUUACACGUUUCCAUAUGGGUUUUUUGAACUACAGAAAAUUUUGUCAUUCCUAAGAUUUAAUUGUUGUUAUUGUAUAGUUUAAUUAUUUUCCCCUAAUAUGAUUGAAUGGUAAUUAGUUGUAUAAAUUUGGCUUUGACCGUUCUUUCUCCUCCUUGGGUUCUAUUUCCGUCUCUGACCCCAUUGAACUUCAGUUGAGCUCAAGUAAGCAGUCCUAGCGGCCAGCCUUCUUUUAGGUCACUCAAGGAUAAUUGGGAUCAAAUAUUCGCAUUUUCAUUGUUUGAAGUAGGAAGCACCACUUUUUCCUCUAAUUUUGUUUCUUCUGAAAUUUAAUGGUUCUGAUUUGAAUCAUCUUGCAGAAGAUUGAGAAACAGAAGGUUGGAGGACUAGAUGAUCAAGCAUUGACUUAUUUUUAAAGAAAAGGUAAACCACGAAAAUCCCAAAGUGAUAUCCCACGACCUACAACUAUUUUUGUAUUUGAUUAAUUUAAUUCUUAAUAUUUUUCCGCGUUGAUUUAUGUUGAACUAUGUCUGAAAGGUGGCCUUUGUUCAGAUUGAAAUACAAAAUUAAAUCACAUUUGAUCAGUUAAAUCACAUCUAUAUUAAUGUGCAAAUUUGCAGGAUAUUGACUAUAAUAUUCACUUAGUCAGUUCUCUGUAUUAUCCUUUCUUCAACAGGGGUUGAGAACAAUAUUUAAUAUGUAGGUUGAAUUGAUUGAAUAUUUGGUUUUGUUGGUUGAAAAGUUUAAUAUCGUUUAUUUGUAUGCUCUGAUCUUUGGUUGACGCUGUUAUGUGGAAAAGACCCCUUAUAAAAGAUUAGAGAUGUAACUGGUACUUUGUCUAUAUUCCUGUAAUUUGAUUGUAUAUUGUUUUAUUUACUUUUGUAGGUUAGAGUUUUUAAUUUUUAUGGGUUUAUUGAAUGCGUAAUUCUCUAAGCAUUCGAAAAGGUAAGAUUUGGGAGAGUGAGAAUUUGUAAUUACCUUGAGAGGAAUUCUUUUUAUUGCAUCUACAAAAUAUUUAACAUCAUCUACUAACAACGCUUUGGCUUUCCAGUAAACAAAUAACAGAAGGACCUCCAUACAUUCAUGAGCAUCACUUUUAUUUAGUGGAUUACAAUGAAUUGUUAUCUCACGUAGAUAAAGUUGAAAUUCUCAUAGGUAAUUAAACACAUUUAUAAAUCUACAUCUAUAUGCCAUUUUUGUUUGCCAACAUUUUUUCAUCCUAUAAUCUUAUAAUAUUGGAUUGCCAAAUUGCAAGAUAUUGUGGGACGCAUCACAUCAGUGCAACCAGACAGUUUUGAAUCCCGCAGCAUUGCGCGGGCUUCACUGCUUGUGAUUUACUAAAGUGGCCGACAGAUGGACCCCUCAGCUGGCAGGGUACCAGUUGCAAAACGGUAACAUUUUAAGGGACUACGAGCCGUUUUAUUUUUGGGCCAUUGGUUUUUGGGCCAUUGGUGAUCAACGGUCUAGGUUAAAAUCUUUUUUUGUUUUGCAAUCUUUAGAUUUUGAUCUGAUUGUUCAUAUUUUUUUUUUCAAAUCUAAUUGUAAAAAAAAUCCAACUGCUGAAAUUUAAAUUAAAUGUCAAAAUAAUAAAAUAAUUUUUUAGAACAUAUCCACUUUACAUUUGGAUGGUGUGUGUAUUGAAGUUUGGUUGGUUGGUGUGAUUUGUUCGGUUUUGAAAAUUUUGUCGAAAUUUAAUCAUUUAAUGUCAAAAUACUCGUCAAAUUAAAUUAAAAUAAUAUAAUUCAAAAGUACAAAAAAAAUUAAAAAAAAUCCCACCAAAAAAAUUAGGGUUAAAACUAUAUUCCACAACAAUUAGCAUUUUAGGUCCUGAAAUUUAGGUCUUGGUAUUUGGGUGAUAUUCACUGUUCAUAGACUUAAAUUCCGUCUUUUUAAUGGUCUUUUAAAGGGGUGUGUAGUCAAAUUAGGAUUUGAUAGCAUUUUGAUGGAUUUUAAAAUCUAAGUGCAUUCAAUUAGGAUUUUAAAAGAUUUUGAAAUCAUAGUGUAGUCAAAUUAGGAUUUUAUAGGAUUUUAAAGAAUACAUCAAAAUCCAAGGAUAGUCGAUUAGGAUUUUAAAUGAGUCUGCAGAUGUCUAGGUGUAGUGAAAUUACCAAGGAUUUGCUAGGAUUUUGAUGAGUGAUGGAUUUUAAUGGAUUUGAGGGUUUGUGGUAUAAAUACCAAAUGUUAUCCAACCCUUACCCCUCAAAUUUCUUUUCACACCAGAGGAACAGUCUUCUCCAUUUGAGAGGACCUACUGUGAACUCAGCCGACUUGGACUUCUAUGGCUGGUCGUGAAAUCUUUGCAAGCAUGAGAAGAUGUCCCAGCACCACCAACUUAUUUUUUUCUUUCUUCACCGACUACCCAAACAUCUCACGUAAAUUCCCUUGCUGACUCUUCCUUUCCCUUCAACUACUUCCUAUCUCUGUUGUACUUUUAUUUACAGAAUACACCUUGUUCAAUUUUGCUUUGGUGCCUUUGAAAUGUCACCAUUUAUUAUUAAAACCAAUCAACGUCACUCUCGAAACACGUAUUAUUUGGCUUGGGUUGGAUCAAUUCAUCCAACCUGUAUACAUUCUAAACAUUAUUAAUUUGUGCUAUUACUACGGUAUGAAAAUAUGCAAUUAACUAGUCCUUGGAUUGAGGAUCGUGAUUUCAGACAGUGUAGUAGAAUACACAUAACAAUUAGGGUUUCAAUUGCAGAGAGUUGGAGAGGUUAAUCUCAGCCACAGAGUUUCAUUAAAAAUGAUCUGACGGCAUUGUAUGUGAUUUCUAAAUUUUUUUAAAAUCCUAGGAAAUCCAAGAAAGAAUCCAUACAAAUCCAUACAAAUCUAUAAGAGAAAUCCACAUAAAUCUGUCAAAAUCCAUAUGGAAUUGUAGAGUCCAUUAAAAUCCUUUAAAAUUUGUCACCUAAACAAAAUCCAUUAAAAUCCUCUAAAAUUCAAAUUGAUUACACCCCCUAAAUAUUUUGGUUUGGGUGUAAGGGUUGGAGUUGGUCUAAGGACUUUAAUGGAAUCUUUGAAUUCCUAUAAGUGUAUUGCCUCAUAGCGAACCGGGAUCCUCGCAGGAUCCAUUCCCUAGGGAUCCCGCAAUUCUAUCCGUUCAUCGUAUAUCAUGCGGUCAGUUUUCGUUAGGUACUAUUUACAUUCGAAUUUUAAAUUUUAAAUUUUAAAUGAUUUCUAACCGCACGAUAUACGAUAAACGAACAAGAUUGCAAGAUCACUAGGGAAUGGAUUCGACGAGGAUCUUGGUUCUACAAUAGCUUCACUAUUGGCUAUAGCUUAUGUCAUGGUUUAUAUUAUAGCUCAUGUCAUGGUUUAUUAUUUCUAAUCAAAGUUAGACUUCGACUCUUUGCAACCCUUGGUCAACUAAAUGAGUUAUUAAUUAAAAGUCGUUUGAUAAUUAUUUUGUUUUUAAUUUUUAAUUUUUAGUUUUUACUUUUCUGUUUUGAAAUUAGCCAAAAUGGUCUCUGAAAUUAGCAUAACUUCUCACUUUGAUUCCUGAAAUUUAAAAUUGCCAGAAGUGAUUCAUGAGUUUGUUAAUUAUCAAUCAUUUUGAUCAUUAUGUUAAAAAUAUCCAUUAAAUAAGGAGCAAAUAACAAAAUAACCUCAAUUUAAUAAAAAAUGGGCCAUAAUAAUUUGAUAAAAAUUGAGUGUAAUUUUGUUUUUUCAUGAAAUGAUUAAAAUAAGGGAACUUUAAUGAAAAGUUUAUAGUACUGUUCACUUUAACGAAAAAUCAUAUUUUUACAAUAAAAAGUUAAUCCUGGUACUAUUCAUUUUACCCAUUAUUUUGUCAUUAUCAUUAAAACUCAAAGUUUUCAAACCAUUUUUAUUAAUUUUUCUUUAAAACAAUUUAUAGUGGAUUAAACCAGAAAUCUCAUUUUGAGUGAGGAGUUGCAUAGCAAUUUCAGGAAUCAGCUGAAAAGUAAAAAAUAAAUAUAAACAAAAGAAGAAACGAAACUUCCGACCUGGUGGGUUGCGACUUUGGUUUGGUAUUGCUGUGCUUUGAAAAAAAACUGUUUCUGCUGUGCUGUGAGAAUAAGCAGCUGUGAAAUAAAACAGCAGAGUGUUUGGUAAAUUUUUUUGUAAAAAUGCUUUUGAAAAAAAAAACAGUAUUAUAGUGUUUAGUAAACUUUUAUGUAAAACAGAUGUGAAAAAAAAAAAACCGAUUUUUCAAAGUUGGGUUUUGCAGCUUCCUGUUUUUGGUUUUUUUCACACAAAACUGUAAAAAAAAAAUGUGAAAUUGAAUGUUUACCAAAUACAAUAAAGCUGCCAGCUUUUUUUUAUACCAUUUUUUUUCAGAAUUACCACCGUACCAAAUCAGGGCUUAAACUGACUGAGAGGUCCUCUAUCCGCAGCUCCUUCGUCUUCCUCCCAAGCCUUUUACCUUUUCUUUCUUUCUUCUCCAAAACUAGCAAUCUGAGAUUUCAACCUCUCUCUCCAAGGAGCAGCGGCAUGCUUUUCCAAACGUAAUCUGCAAUUUAAUCAAACAGCCACCAAAUUUUCUGGAAUCCGGUCAAUGCAGAGAUUCUUCGGAUUUUGAUCGGUCAACGCCAGCUGCUUACCUGAGCUCUAACAGACACAACAGUGAUAACGUCCUCCACCUCUGUCUCUGUUUGGCUGAUUCUGCUGUUUCGCUUCUUUCACCUCCACAAGCUUGCUGCCAAUGUCGAAGGUAUGUCUCUGUGUGUUAUUGAAAUUGGGAGUGUUUGGUUGUGGGAACUGGAAUGAACUAAUGAAUGAAUGACUGGAAACAUUCCCGAAGAGCUUGGGGGUUUGUCAGACUUGGUGAGCUUGGAUCUUUACUUGGCAACCUUGCAAAACUGCGUUUCCUGUAUGAACCCCCAUCCUUCUGUUAGAUAAAAUCUAUCGUCUUUCUUUUUUAUUCGAUAUGCUAAUUUGCUUUUAUUAAUUGUUCCAUUGGAGUGACUUUCUUCCUUAAAGUCCUUGUGCCGGAUGCAUAUAAUUUAUAGUAUGAUCCCUGGUUUCAAGAUUCACAAGAAGGGAACAUCCAAUCAUUGCAAGUCCUGUGAGUUUCAUACACUUUCAUCUCAGUGUAAGAGGGAGGAGAGAGAGAGACAGAAGUUACUAAUUUCUCCGCCAUCAGGUAUUGUUUGGUAUGUAGACGAGAACGGAACGGGACAGGAUGGGACGGAAUGGAGAGAGAGAGCAAAGAUGCUCUCGGAUGGAAACAAGGAGGAAGAAGAAUGAGACGGAGAAAUUAUAAUUUUGUGUUCCACGGAUUUGGAACGAGUCAUUCCAGGGAAAAAGGGGAAACAAAAAUUCAUCUAAAAUUCGUUCCGUGAAACAAUACGUUUCACCCGUUUUAGGUGAACCAAACAUGAGACGGAACGUCUCAUUUCACUCUGUUCCGUCACGUUUCACGUACCAAUCGGUACCCCAGAGAAUGCAAAUAACAUAUAGUUUUGCCAUGGAAUGCAGGGAUCUUUCAAAUAACAAUCUGACAGGGGAUAUUUGUGGUGCCCUUUUCGUGCCCUCCUGUUUUUGUGGUUACGGUUAAGCCACGUCAACAUUUUAUAUUACUAUUUCUUUUUGUUUUAUUAUUUUUAUAAAAAAAUAAUAUAAAAUAUUAACGUAGCUUAACCGUGACCACACAAAACAGGAGGGCACUAUUUGUGGUGCCCUUCCCGUGCCCUCCUGUUUUUGUGGUUACGGUUAAGCCACGUCAACAUUUUAUAUUACUAUUUCUUUUUGUUUUAUUAUUUUUAUAAAAAAAUAAUAUAAAAUAUUAACGUAGCUUAACCGUGACUACACAAAACAGUAUGACACGGAAAAGGUACCGAAAUAGGAGGGCAGACAAUCCAAGUCCUCCGGUCAAUGGAUCUUUUUAACUUUUUACUCCCAUGAGGUUUGUUGAAGCAACUUUACUCUUUUUCUUUACCUUUUUCCUGCGGUGACUGUCCCAGCGGACGAUCUAAAUGAUGUACUGAUUGCUAUUCUUCAUUUUGCAGUUUUGCCAAUAAUCCUCGUCUGAAUCCACUUCCAGCCUCACCACAUCCAGGUUUUUACAACUUGUACUGUUCUAAUGUUCUUGUGAUAUUAGCGCAAAAUUAUUUUGAGAAUUGGCUCUGUUUUGUUUCACAGACACUUGUGAUAUCGAUCCAGUCCAGUAAUGGUUAAUGUUUUAUUUUUGGUGUUUUUCUGUUAAAACUUUUCAUAAUGGUUAAUGUUUUAUUUUUGGUGUUUUUCUGUUAAAACUUUUCAUAAUAUACCAUUACUGUUGGAAUCACUGCUGUAAAGAAUCUAAGAAGAUGCUAGUUAGGAAAGGAAUGGAUUGAGGAUCCGAGAGGAUACUCCUAAUUAUGUGUUGUACUAUUUCUGUGAGUUUGAAGAAAUGAAUAAAAGAAUAAUGUUAGCGAGACCAAAAAUUUUAAACGGUUGUUGAUGAUUGAAUUAUUAAUUAAGUGUCGAUUAUUGUGUUUAUUUCUUAUUGGUGACACAUUAUUUGGUUUGGCGAUUCAGUGGUGAUUAUAAUCAUCUACAAUAAUUAAUACGCACUGAUAAUUUUUGGGAACAGAGGAGUGAAAAAACUGGAAUUUUGGGAAGCUCGGUGCUUCUGGUUUUCAUCGAGCAGAGGGAAGACGAAGAGGGAGAGAGAGAGAGAAAAUACUAAGUUUAAGGAAAUGGUUGAGAGACCAAAGUUUUAAAUCAAAUUUACGAACCAAAUGAUGUAUCAUCAUUAAGAAACAAGCAUGUAUACUUAAUUAAUAAUUCAAUCAUCUACAACCACAUCAUUUGGUUUAAUAUUUUUGAUCUCCCUAGCAUUAUCAGUAGUUUAAUUGUAAUUUUUUUUUUAUGGAGGCACCGAUCAACAGUGUUGAUUUUUUAGAGAAGAUGUAAAGAGUCGGAGGCCCAUAGAAUUUCCCAAGUUCAAAUAUUUAUAUUUUUUUGUCAAACGAUAGAUUUUAUUAGAUUAUAUGUUAGGUUAGUCAUCGACGGAGUUUGAACCUACGCCGUCAUGCAAUGACGCAACACAUUUCCACCACUGUGGUAAAUGGUCACUUGUAUUUGAGAAUAUUUAUAUUAUUCUAAUUUGAAAGUUAAGUGAAUUAAUUAUUUUUUAUUUGUAAACAAAUAUUUGCUUGCAAGUAAUCAAUUCUAUUAAACAAAAAUAAUUGCUUACAAUACAAUAAACAAUAACUAUAAAUAUUAUUGUAAAAUGUAUAUUAUAAAUAUUUUUAAUGUAUAUUUUUUUACGAAUUGAACUGAAUAUGAUAAUGUCUGUGUAUUCUCUAACAUAAUGUUACUAUAGGUUACUAUCGAAUUCCGUAUCCUAACCGAAUUGCGAACUCGAAUCGUAACAUGUAUCUGGAAACUAUGGGUGGCACUGGUACUGGGGCUAUUUUUGGAGGGGUUGCCGUUGGUGUUGCUUUGCUGUUUGGUGCACUUGCAAUUGCAUUUGCUUAUUGUCGACGAAGAAAACCACAGGAUCAUUUCUUUAAUGAACCUGGUUAGUGAACUAUUAAGAUUAAUAUAGCUUGAUCAAGUUGGUGUUGUAGUUGUUGCAUGGGAUGCAGGUUUCACUCAUCUACUGUCUUUGCAGCUGAGGAGGAUCCAGAAGUUCAUUUACGACAGCUCAAAAGGUUUUCUUUACGCGAGCUACAAGUUGCGACGGAUACCUUUAGCGACAAAAAUAUUCUUGGUAGAGGUGGAUUUGGUAAGGUUUAUAAAGGAUGCUUAGCUGAUGGAACUCUGGUUGCUGUAAAAAGACUAAAAGAGAAGAGAACCCAAGGCGGGGAGCUACAGUUCCAAACGGAAGUUAAAAUGAUUAGCAUGGCUGUCCACCGCAAUCUGCUUCGUCUGCAUGGUUUUUGCAUGACACCAACAGAAAGGCUGCUUGUAUAUCCUUAUAUGGCUAAUGGAAGUGUGGCAUCACGUUUAAUAGGUACUCAUCUAGAUUGUAUGCUGCGUUGAUGAAUCUUUUUGUUUUCACGAUAUUAAAAAUUAUUUGGAUUACAUUGAUAAUUUGAAUUUAAAAACCCGACCAAUUUGGUUUGGAGUAUCAACACUGAUUUUCUAUAAUGUAUUUUUUUUCCCUUCCAUUUUAAGUUACCUUCUUGCUGAUUUUCUUUCUAUUUAAUUUGAAAAGAAUGACGAGAUGACCUUUUUUGGGUAAGACUGGUGGCAUGAUAUGUGUUAGACCAUAUUACCUGUUGUUUGUGAUUUGAAACUCUACUCUCAAAAGUUUGUGGAUAUAUUAAUAAUUAUUAUUGUAGAUCGUCCAGAAGGACAACCUGCACUUAAUUGGCCAGUAAGACAACGCAUUGCAUUGGGAUCUGCAAGAGGCCUUGCUUAUUUACAUGACCACUGUGAUCCAAAAAUUAUUCACCGUGAUGUGAAAGCUGCAAACAUAUUGUUGGAUGAGGAAUUCGAAGCAGUUGUUGGAGACUUUGGGUUGGCUAAACUCAUGAACUACAAGGAUACACAUAUUACCACAGCUGUACGUGGCACAAUUGGUCAUAUAGCACCAGAGUACUUUUCAAAUGGAAGGUUUUCCGAGAAAACUGAUGUUUUUGGAUACGGAGUCAUGCUUCUUGAACUCAUCACUGGUCAGAGGGCUUUUGAUCCUCAGCCUGAGAGUGAUGAUGACGUCACGUUACUUGAUUGGGUAUGCAUUUACGUCUUUCUGUUUGUGAAAAUUUUUUUCAAUAUGAUCACGGGAUGAUACAUCACGUAUCAUUAUACAAAUUAUGGAAUAUGUGUGUUAAAAAAUUAAUAAUUUAAAAAAAUAAAAUUUCUUAUCACUUAUAUAAAAAUACGUAAUGUAUCACUCAUGUUCUGAUCACAAGGAAAAAAUUCUACUGUUUGUGUAUGUAGCUAAUUUAAUAUUAUAUGCAAGGUUAUUUCCCAACAACAUUUGAUAUCUUUCAUAUUUUAUAUCUAAAGAGACGUAAUGUUGUUGAAAUUCAACGAUAUUCUAGCUUCAAUCUAUUUUGUGUCCCUAAGUCCAAUUCUUGGAAAUUAUCAAAGUUUCAAUACUCAGAUUGUUAAAGAAAUGUUAUAUAAUAUACCGUAAUUUAGGCGUUUCUCGUGUUACCAAUGUCGCUACUUAUUUUAGACGAAAAUAAUGGGUCUCCACACUUAACGAUUUUAUUUCAAACUGUUAAUUUCUUAUGACAUUCUUAAUCAUUCCCUAUGGAACACUUCUGCAUGCAUUUUAGUUAGUUCUUUGGAAAUAUGAUUUAAAAACCUAUUAUUAUUUAUACAACUGCCAAAUUCCUGUUUGAUUAAUGUAAAAAUCACUUGUCUUUUUGGCCGAAAUGUUGAAAACAGUCAGAGGUUAAUUAUUACAUUUCCUUGGUAAUUGUUACUAUUGUUGUUGCUUCUUUUACCAAUAUAUUGGCGUUACUGUGAUUUCUUGAAAAAUUUGGCAUAUGUUUUUUGUUGAUCCUAAUUUCCUCAUCAUCACUUUAUUCUCCUAUCUUGGCCUCUCGCUUCUUUCUAUCCUCUCUAUUUGCAUAUUUUUCUUAUCUUUGCAUUAUAUCAAUAUUUGAAUGACGAUACAUUUUUGUAUGCAGUUUGAUUUUCUAGAGAAAAUUGCGGCCCUUCAAAUUGUGAACAUUACAACACAUUUUUACUCUCCUUGGUGCCCUCACCUUUUGUUUCAAAUUGUAGAACUAUCUGACGUUUUCCUUUUUAUUUUAACUAAAACAAUUAGGUCAAAGGACUAAUGAAAGAUCAGAGGGUGGAAAUACUUGUUGAUGCUGAUCUAAAUGGAAAUUAUAUUGACGAUCAAGUGGAGCAGCUGACCCAAGUAGCUCUACUAUGCACACAAGACUCCCCAGGGGAACGGCCCAAGAUGUCAGAGGUUGUCCAGAUGCUGGAAGGCGAUGGUUUGGCUGAAAGAUGGGAAGAGUGGCAGAACGAGAUGUUCCGCCAAGAUUUCAACCCUAUUCAUCACCAAAGUACUAAUUGGAUCAUAGUAGACUCAACUUCUCAUAUUCCUCCGGAUGAGUUGUCCGGUCCCAGAUGAUAUGCACGUUGGUUCCGUCCCCUGUAUACAUGUAAGAAGCCUUCAGAGGACUGGAGAAGGUCCAUUUUGUAUUUCAGUGAUACCACAUUUGCAUAUGUUGUCUUUGUUUUCGAUUUUGUUUUUGUCUCAUGUAUUUUUUAGAUGACAAAAUUGGAGUUGGUGCUGUUGUAAUUUUUAUAGAGUUAACUGGCAUUACGAAGUUAUAUGGUGCUAGCAGGAAUUAGGAAGGGCCAUAAAAGUACCCGUUCCUGAUGAUUUAUGUAUCUAUCCAGAAAUUAGUCCAGAUUGCCGAGUAAAUAAUCAUUCUGAACUUAUAACUAUCUAUAUUUUUUAGUGUUCCUAUAGAUCCUAUAGAUAGGAUAAGGACACUAGGCCAAGUGCAUGGGUGUUUGUGGACGGAUAGUGUUUGAAAUUUCAUCGUGAUCAUUGUAAGUGCGACUUUAUGGCACUACCCUUAUAAGUACUUGAACUAAGGCAUUAGAGGAUUAAGAGAUCACUUUGUGUCAUUCCAACACCAGAAUUCGAGCUCUGUCUAUCCUAUUUAGGGUAUCAACAAUGGGGAUCCCUCUACUAUCUUUGAGGAUUUAUUUAAAACCAACUGUAGGGUAAAGACUCAAACCUAAAUAUUUGAGUUUCAACCUAAAGGUGGGACUUUUUUGUUGUUUUUUUUUUAAUAAAUAAUAUUAUCUGCAUUAAAGGGGUGUGGGAUUUGAUUAUGCCUCAAAAUGGAGGAGCAAUAAUAUGGUUCAAAUUUACCUUUGGUUAGAAUCGAUAUGGUUCAAAUUUGCCUUUGACGAGAAUCGAACCUAAGACCUCUCACUCAUAAGUGAAGAGGAAUACAACUAGACCGUAGUAUUAAGUUGUAUCUAAUGGUGGGACUUAAACCUAAAAGGUUUGGCUUUGACCCAAGCUAAACCCAAAUUUGGGUUGUAUUUGGCUGACUUAAUUUUUAGGGUCCCUAGAUUUUUUUAUAAAACAACGGGUGAAUGAUUUAUUGAUGUGGGCAACAGAUAAGCCUCAACUGGCAAGGCCCCAGUCGCAAAACGGUAACAUUUUAAGGGACUAUGAGCCGUUUGAUUUUUGGGCCAUUGGUGAUCAACAGUCUAGGUUAAAAUACUUUUUUUUUUCUUUUUUUUCCUUUUUGCAAUCUUUAGAUUUUGUUCUAAUUGUUCAUAUUUAUUUAAUUUUUUUUCAAAUCUAAUUGUAAAAAAGAUCCAACUGCGGAAAUUUAAAUUCAACGUCAAAAUGAUAAAAUAAUUUUUUAGAACAUACAUACUUUGAUGGUGCAUGUUUUAAAGUUUGGUUGGUUGUUUGUAUAUUGAAGUUUGGUUAGUGUGCAUUGAAGUUUGGUUAGUUAGUGUGAUAUGUUCAGUUUUGAAAAUAUUGUCGAAAUUUAAUUUUUUUUAAUGUUAAAACACUCUUCAAAUUAAAUUAAAAUAAUAUAAUUCAAAGUUAAAAAAAAGGGUUAAAACUAUAUUCCACAACAAUUAGUACAUUUUACUUUUAGAUCCUGAAAUUUAGCUCUUGAUAGUUGGGUGAUAUUCACUGUUUAUACACUUAAAUUCCGUCUUUUAAUGGACUAAAUAUUUGGUUUGGGUGCAAGGGUUGGAGUUGGUCUAAGGACUUUAAUGGAAUCUUUGUAUUCCUAAAGGAGUAUUGCGUCAUAUGGGAAAGUUCCUAAGGUGCGCUUGUUGCACCAAACUAUCUCGGACUGGACUAGCUUCAGAGAUUAAGCUUGACUGGCUUAGAAUAGAACUAAGUUGGACUGACUUAGUGAAGCGUUUGAUACAGUGUCGGACUAAGAAGUAGGAUAAUAAAAAUUAGUGAAAUUGCAAAUUAACAAUUGAAGCAUCAAACUCAACUGCACAAUACCCACAAUUAAAUCAAAUGAUAAAAUUACACUAAACUUAACUGCAAUUGCUUGGAAAUGAAAGAAAAUAUUGAGUUUUUUGUGCAUUGUAUCAUUGCAAUUUGCAUAACCAAACAUCUCUUUCAACCAUAAGCCACCAUGGAAACACAUAAAAUUACAAAAUUAUCCUCAUUCUCUAGUUUUUUUUUUCCGUAACCAAUCAGUCACUACAGCAACAAAUACCCAUCUAGAAUUUUUUUCAUAAUUCACCAAAACAGAGUAUAAAGAACAAAACCUAGAUUCUGCAAUGUUGAGAAAUAAUGACUUGGGGAAGAAAAUGGAAGGCUUUUUUUGGGGAAAUUGGAAAAAACCCAGGUGAAAAUUCAUAGUUGAGAAACAGAAAAGAUUAUUAUCUCAUACUUUUUAUGGGUUUCUUCGCCUUAUACUCCACACAGCGAGCUCCAUGAAUGCCUCUAGCUUUUUUUCCUUUUUUCUGUUAACCUUUUGUCUCGGUUUCCAUAGUUGAAAUGGAGAAUUUAAAUUGAAAUCAGUGACCUAACUGUUUAAAUUUAAUCAGGAACUUAAAUGUCCCAAAAUUGUUAAAAAUUCAAACCUUAUCACCCUACAAAUUUGGAGGCAGCAUGUUUCGAUUCCUUCUUCAUAGCCUUACCAAUUUCUGAAAUUGGGGCUUCGCCAUAGAUGGCUUUGAGCAUGGAAAGCUGAACUAAGGGAAAUCACAAAAUACCUAGAAGGGAAAAUCAAAGCCAUACAACAUCAUAAAAUACCUAGAAGGAGAACUCAUUGAAGAACAAGAAAAUUUCACAGCAUAAAACGCACCUAGAUUUCAUAACAACCCAGAAGGGGAAAUUGUAGGGGAAAUCGAAAGGGAGAUCGAAGGGGAAACGUGCAAUUAAGAUGAGCAGAAGGGGAAAUUGAAGUAGUUAAGCAAGACGUGGUGAGCGAGCAGGACAAGGAUACGAGCAUGAAGAAGUGAGCGAGCACGAAGAGGACGACGGUCUUAGCUAGUUCUCUCGUAUUUAAGGGGCCUCACUAAGACCUUCUAACAAAGGAAUUAGUUGACUUGAGUCCCACUUAAUACCAUUAAACUUAGUCCUUGCUGCAGACAAACAUGGGGUUGCAUUUGAUUUUUGGGGCUGGAUGUAAUCUCAUUUUUCUCCAUUGGACAUCCCUUGUCUUUUGCGGGGGUGAUUUCAAUGGAUUCAUUUGGGCCCAUGAGAAGUCUGGAGGGGUGGAGGUUCACUAUAAUCGACUAGAAUUUUGGCAAACUUUAUGGAUGUUACGGAGUUGCUUAAUUUAGAGUUUAAGGGCCUGACUUUCACAUGGAGGGGCAUUCGACAUAGGGUGUUGAUGGAAGAAAGAUUACAUAGGGGCUUAAUAAUGGGCAUUGGCAGGAUGUUUGGUCCAAUUCGUUUGUGCUACAUGGUACGGUUUUGGGGUCUGAUCAUUAUCCGCUUAUUAUAAAAACUGAUCUGGAUGGGCCUAAAGUUAGGAAGUUGUUUCGAUUUGAGGCUUUUUUGGCUAAGGAAGCGAAGUGUUGGUGAAGGAUUGUUGGGCUCGACGGCAGGUUGAUGUUGUGCAGUUGCAAUGGGUUAAGAAGAUUAACGAUUGUCGUUCUCAUCUUCUGCGGUGGAGCCGUAAUAGGUUUAAGAAACGGGGGCAACAAAUUGAUGAGCUCUUUCAUUAGUUAAGGGAACUUCAGAUGAAUUGGGGAUUAAAUUUGGCUGAAAUUAAGGAAAAAUCUCGACUUCUUGAUGAUUUAUGGUCUCAGGAGGAAAGCUACUGGCAUCAGCGCUCUCGAGUUAAAUGGUUGCAUAAGGGGGAUGCGAAUACUAAGUUCUUCCAUCAGUCAACAUUACAAUGCUGUAAGCGGAAUAGGGUUCUCAAAAUUAAAGAUGUGGAUGGGUAGUGGGUUGAACAACCCGACAGUGUUCGUGACUUAGUGGAGGACCACUUUGUUACCACCUUUAGGUCUGGGGGGCCUAGGAAUUGGGGAUCAAUUCUGGAAUGUAUCAAUCCAGGUGUAACUGUGGACAUGAAUCAAGCUUUGCUCAAGUUGGUGUCUGACGAGGAAAUAAUGGAUGUGGCACUAAAGAUGGGGGGUCUUAAAGCUUUUAGUCCAUAUGGUUUUCAAGGGAUCUUUUAUCAGUCAUUCUGGGAGCAUCUUAGGGAGGAUGUUAAUAAGCUGGUCAGGACAUUGAUGAAUGGUAUGGCUAGCCCAGGUACUCUUAAUAAAACCCAUAUUGUUCUAGUCCCUAAGGUUCAUCACCCAGAAUCGGUUUCACAAUUUAGGCCUAUUAGUCUUUGUAAUUACUCAUAUAAGGUUAUGUCCAAGGUUCUUGCCAAUAGAUUGAAAAGUGUGUUGCCACAGCUUAUAUCUCCCUUUCAGAAUGUGUUUGUGGCGGGUCAGAAGAUUCAUGAUCAUAUUGGGAUUGCCUAUAAGAUCUUUCACUUCCUCAAAGGGCGGAAAGCGAAAAAUAAGUAUGAAUUGGGUAUAAAGCUUGAUAUGCAGAAAGCUUACGAUCAUGUGGAGUCAGAUUUUCUUGAUGCAAUUAUGGAAAUGAUGGGUUUUUUUAGUCUGUGGCAGCAUUUAAUUAUGGGUUGUGUGUCUUCGGUGUAGUUUGUUGUCAUUCUUAAUGGACAACCUAGUAAGCAGUUUGCUCCCUCUUGGGGUCUCAAGCAGGGCGAUCCCCUAUCUCCGUAUUUAUUUAUUUUGGUUGGGGAGGUUCUUUCUCGGAUGAUUUAGGAUAUAGUGGAUAGGAAGUUGCUGGAUGGCAUGAUGAUGGGUGUCUCGGGUCCGAUCAUUUCUCAUAUGUUUUUUACUAAUGACACUUUAAUUUUUCUGUGCGUUGAUGGAAAAAACUGUCAGCAUUUGGUUGAUCUUCUCGCAAAGUAUUGUGAUGCUUCGGGUUAGAAAGUGAAUUUGCAGAAGUCUAGUGUUUACUUUAGGGCGAAUACUCAUGCUAGGGUUGCUGCCGAAUUAGCUUAUGUGUUGGGUAUCCCUGUGGUUGACAAUCCAGGUACUUAUUUGGGUGUCCCUACUAUAUGGGGGUUGUCAAAGAAACAAGGUCUUGCCUAUGUCAAGGGGAGGAUUAUGGGUAAGUUGCAAGGAUGGAAACAAAGUCUUUUAUCUCAGGUAGGGAAGGAAGUCUUGAUUAAGGCGGUUGUCCAGGCUAUUCCAGCCUACCCAAUGAGUAUCUUUAAGUUCCCUGCUAUUGUCUAUCAGGAGUUGGACGCGUUAGUUGCUGGGUUUUGGUGGGGGAGUCUAGGUCCGGUUCGCAAAACCUAUUGGGUUUUAAUGGAUGUUCUUGGUCUGCUAAAGGAUAUGGGUGGUCCCAGAUUCAGGAAUUUUUCUGAGUUCAAUGAUGCUCUUCUGGCCAAGCAGGUUUGGUGUUUACUUUCGGAUCCUGAGUCUCUUUGGGCUUGUGUGAUUAAGGCCUGUUAUUUCCCGUCUUGUUCAUUUUGGGAUGCAAAAAAAAAGGGACGAGCUUCUUGGGUUUAGACAAGUCUUCUGAUUGGUCGAGAGGUACUUCAACGUGGAACUCAUUGGAAAAUCAUAGAUGGCACUGAUGUUCAUGUGUGGGUGGAUUGAUGGCUUCCAUCUUUACCUGUGGGUCAUCCAGUGCCCUUAGUUAGGGUUACUUCCAACUUGCGAGUAAGUUCUCUUAUUCGGCCCAAGUUCCAUGAGUGGGACAUCAGAUUUUUGCAACCUUUUCUUUCGGAGGUGGAUCAAGCAGUUAUACAGGCUACCCCACUGGUGAUGUGAGCGGUAGAGAUUGGUUAGUCUGGAAGGCUAGCAAGACUGGUAAGUAUUCAAUUAAAUCGAGGUAUCAUUGGCUUCAAUCAAAAUCACUUACUUCGAGGGAUCAACAGUUGACAGGGGUGCGGUUAGUUCCUAAGGCUUUGUGGCGGUUGCAUGGACCUCCGAAGCUUCGUCAUUUCCUUUAGUUAUCGUUGCACAAUGGUCUUGCUACUAGAGCAGCUCUUUUUCACAGGGUUCCUCCCCUUCCCCAAUUUGCCCAAUUUGUCUAGGUCAUGCUGAAACUUUGGAGCAUCUGUUUCUCCUUUGUCCAUGGGUGGAAGUUAUUUGGUUUGGUAGGGCUCUUUAACUACCGGGUUGAUAGAGAUGGCAUUUAAUCAUGGGCGAGUUAGUUGCAGGCGGUCUUGGCUCUUACCUUAGGAUCCACGGAAGACAGGGCUUGAGUUCAGUCCUAUGUUGUGUUCACCUGUUGGUUUAUUUGGAAAGCUCGUUGUGAUUUUGUGUUUAAUCAGGUUCCCGUUAAUCCUGCUAGGUUGCUGUUUGAGCUAUCCACUGCGGUGGGUUCUUAUUGGGAGGCGGUAAGGCUCUUGGGCACGGAUAAGGCGUAUCGUUCUGUUCUGCAGGAUCAGGUUCAUCGGUGAUUGGCUCAUCCAUCUCCAUUUACAAAGAUCAAUGUUGAUGCUAGUUGGUCUAAGGUGUCUAAAAUGGGUUAUGUUGGGGUGGUCGUGGGGAAUGAGGAGGGGCGGUUUGUGGCUGCUGCCAGAUAUUCUCUUCUAGCUCCUAAUGUUAUUGUGGCAGAAGCAAUGGCUCUGCUCCGUGGUUAUGAGUUGGGUACUCUUUUGGAUCUUCGGUUGGUUGUUUUCAAAUCGGAUUCUCUUGAAUCCAUAUCUUGUCUUUCGGGUUCUCUUGAUAAUGGCAGUUGGGAGGCUUUCCCUACCUUGACUCGGUUCAAAUUGUUGGGUGAGGCUUUCCAGCACUGUCGCUGGGCUUGGGUGCCAAGAUCAGCCAAUCUGGCGGCGCAUUUUCUCCCGUCGGUUGGUUUUACGGAGAUGUGUGAUUGUGUUUGGGUCAACAUGCCUCCAUCUUCAUUAGUUCAUGUUUUGAACAAGGAUGGCCUGCCAUGUUCACAUUGAUUUGUGGUGGCGAUGUUAGGGGUGACGCUAAAUUUGGUUGAUGCGUCUCCUGGUUGUAUCCUCUUUCAUCACUGUUGUUUUCGUUGUGCCAUGCUUAGUGGUUGCCUCCUUGUAGGCUUUCUUGUACCUUUGGGCUCCUCAGCCUUGGAAUGUUAUUCCUUGUUUUCAAUAAAAUAAAAUAAAAAUAAAAAUAAAAAAUAAAAGUAAACUAGUCCAGUCCAUUUCAAUGAAGGGUAGUGAAGCCAAACAAAUGUACCCCUAAUUUGAAGUUAACAUAACUUUAUGUGAUAAUUUCAUUGGAAGCUAAUAUUUUUAGUUAAUUUAACUUGAUAUAUUUUAAAUUCUUUUUUUGUGAACAUUUCUACCAAAAAACUUUCAAAUUCUCGGAGCCAAUUUUUUUUCAUUUUGGUUAUUCUGUUAAAAAUCUCUAUUGAAUAAAGACCAAAAUGACAAAAAUAACCUCAAUUCAAUAAACAAUUUGCUAAAUAAUUUGACAAAAAUUGAGGAUAUUUUUGUUAUUUUAUCUUUAUUCAAUAGAAAAAUACAUAAUGACCAAAAUGAUUGAUGAUGGACAAACUCAAUAAUGUCGGGGAUCAAAGGAAGAAAUGAACUUCCGACGUGGUGGGCUGUGACCUUGACUGCUUGAGAGUCUUCCAUCCGUAGCUCCUCCGUCUUCCUCCCAAGCCUUUUACUUUUCUUUCUUUCUUCUCCAAAACUAGGAAGCUCUAUGAGAUUUCAACCUCUCUCUCCAAGAAAUAGCGGCAUACGUUUCCAAACGUAAUCUGCAAUUUAUAAAACAGCCAAAUGCAAUUUGCAAUUUAUAAAACAGCGGCAUGCUUUUCCAAACGCAAUAUGAGAUUUCAACCUUUCUCUCCAAGAUGCUCCGGAUUGUGAUCGGUCAACACCAGUUGCUUUCCUGAGCUCCAAUAGACCCAACAGUGAUGUCGACUUCCGGCUGUGCUUCUAUUUGGCUAAUUCUGCUGUUUGGCUCUUUCACCUCCAUAAACUUGCUGCCAAUUCGAAGGUAUGUCUGUGUCUGCCGUUAAAGUCCCACAUCGGUAGGGUGAAAAAAAACCAAGGGGUUUAAAUAGUAUUACCCACUCUAACUGAUACCGAGACUUUUUGUGGUAAAAUCUACACUUGAUGGAUUAGGCAGGUGGUAAAGGUGGGGAUAGUAUCGAUGUCGUUAGAGUGAGGCGAGCCCGGCGAUCCAAAAAUCCAACAUGGUAUCAGAGCCCACGAUAUGGGCCCAUGCAAGCCAAUAAGCUUGUCACCUAUAAGGAAACAAGCCUAAACUCUUAAUAUAGAGACAAUCGCUGAGUUGCAUUGAAAACAAGUGGGCCCAGUAGGAGUCGACCUCUGAGUUUCAAUUACCGAUAUGGAUCUCCAUGUGUGAACCACUAAAUGAUGUUACACGUGAAGGGGAGUGUUAAAGUCCCACAUUGGUGGGGUGAAAAGAAACCAAGGGGUUGAAAUAGUAUUACCCCACUCUAACUAAUAUCGAGGUCUUUUAUGGUAAAACCCCACACCUGACCCUAAACCCUAAACCAAGGGGUUUAAAUAGUAUUACCUCACUCUAACUAAUACUGAGGCCUUUUGUGGUAAAACCCCAUACCUGACCCUAAACCUUAAACAAACCCUAUACCUGACCCUAAACCCUAACCCAAGGGGUUUAAAUAGUAUUACCCCACUCUAACUAAUACUGAGGCCUUUUAUGAUAAAACCCCACACCUGACGGACUGGACAGGUAGUAAAAGUGGAGACAGUAUCAGUGUCAUUAGAGUGGGGGCGGGCCCAGCAAUCCAAAAUCCAACAUCUGUGUUAUUGAAUUUGGGUUUGUUUGGUUGUAGGAAUUGGAAUGAACUAAUGAAUUACUGAAUGACUAAUUGGAUUUGACAGGCGACACACUCUAUGCGUUGAAGACCAAUCUAACUGAUCCAGACAAUGUUUUGGAAGUUGGAAUCUGACUCUCGUCAAUCCCUGCAGCUGGUAUCAUGUCACUUGUAAUUAGGAAAAUAGCGUUACUCGGGUGUAAGCAAACCUAACAAACACCUCAUUUUCAAUUCAAUUCAACUCAAUUCACUUGUAACAGCUAAAAUCGCGUUACACGAAAAUUCUAACAUUUUUGCUCCAUCUAAUGAUCUUGGCAAUGCCAAUCUCUCUGGUCGACUGGUGUCACAGCUUGGUGUGCUUUCUGUUUGGAUUAAUAUUUGAACAUUGGGCUGAAAAUGUGUGGAAGCCCAGAGAUACCAAUUAAAGGGAGACUUGCCUAAGGCCCAAGCAUCAAGCCUAGAGAGAAAUUAGCUCAUUCCCAUUAAUGCAUAGGCCAUGUGCCUAUAAUUUAAAUGUCAAGUGAUGGGGACUAACUCACAAUCAGUCAAAAAACACUUUUCAAUGGUAAUACAAGUAAAACGCUGAUGACUCACUACUUUCCAAGUGCUUAUAGGCAAGAGAGAAAUCACUAUCAUUGGGCUAAUCUGCCUACAAAUAGAGGAAGAGGCCCCAUAAACAAAGACACUCAACCAAUGAAACAAACAAACAUACAAACUACGCUCUCAAGCCAGAUUUACAUAUAAAAGCUGUAAUCAGCCUAGAUCUCAAUCCUUUUCAGGAUAUCUCCUUCACAAAAACUAUCUUUUGUCUUGUUUAGAAGCUCUGUUAUCAACCCUAGUGGCGUAGUAUCAGUUCUCCUUCACAAAAGCUAUCUUUUGUCUUGUGUUUUCUAAGAUAAUAGAUCUGCUGCUUAAUGUAUUCUCCAGCAUGUAUUUAAGUCAUAUCUAUCUGUUUUCCUACUUUGCAUCUGGAUCUGGUUAGAUUAAUGGAUAUGCUUUCAUUUAAAAUCAACCAAGAACCAAACAAAUGACCUUAGGGAUCUGGACUCCCCUCAUUCGAAUAUACAAGGCUAUGAAUUGAAAGUCCUUAGUCACAAAGCAAGAAAAAGAACUUAAUGCGGACUUCACUCAUCCACAACAAUCCUUUGAUAACAAGAAAUCCAAGUCACUUGGGGCGCAAGUAAUCGACUAAAUACAAUCUUGUUCUACAUUUGCUAUACUGAGAUUGCAGUGGCACGCCUAGCAUUUAGUUUUGAUUGCGAGCCUCAAGGCUUACACCUAAGGCCUAACAAAGACACAUUUCAAAACUAACUUUAUCAUUUUCUUGCAGCACAUUAGCAAGAAAAAGCCCGGCUACACAUCCAAAAGUGCCAAUCCCUUGGGGAGCUGUGCUAAGAGCCGAUGAGCCAUCUCCGGAGAAAUCUUCGCCCAAACACUUUCCAAGUUGCAGUACUUGUAAGUGUGUUUGCUAUAUGAACCCCCAUCCUAUUGUUAGACUUGGUGAGCUUGGAUAUUUACUUGGCAACCUUGCAAAAAUGCGUUUCCUAUAUGAACCCCCAUCCAUUUGUUAGAAGAGAAUUUUAACAAAAAGCUCAUGGUAUUGUUCACUUUAACGAAAAAUCACAUUUUUAUACUAAAAAGUCAAUUCUAGUACUAUUCACUUUACCCUCGUUAGAACUUAAAGUUUUCAAGCCAUUUUCAUUAAUUUUCCUUAAAAUCUAUCGUCUUUCUUUUUUAUUUGAUAUGCUAAUCUGCUGUUUUUAAUUGUUCCGUUGGAAUGACUUUCUUCCUUAUUCUCCAUGAUAGCUUUUCGGCUCAACCAAAUAUUGUGGUCAAUGCAUACAGCUUGAGUUUUGACUUUUUCUAGGAGUGAGUCCUAAACAGUAAAGGGCCUUAACACCGGAAUAUUUACAGAAAUAAACUAGCAGUAGAACCCUUUUAAAACUUUGUUAAACAUGUGCAAAUAUAUUAAAAUCUAAUUAUAUCCAUAUCAAAGAAAUAUCUAUUUACAUCCUCAUAUUCAAUAAGAAAAAAUGAUAAAUAUAUAUAUGUAGGAUAUAUCACAUAUUAAAUCUGUCUACGUCCAUACUAAAGUCUAUAUGCAUCCUUAUGUGUAAUAAUGAACAAAAGAUGGGUAUUUGAAGAAAACAUUACAUAGAAAAAGUUGUGGAUUAAGUUGUUCAUACAAAUACAAUCAUAUAAAAAUAUAUUCAUUUUCCAUGUCCCAACUCUUCACACUACAUUCAGUACUUCACUCUUCUUUCUUCUUUGUUUUUCUGUAGACGAGGAUGUACAGAUGAGGAUGUACAUUUUCCUCAAAUAAUCUGUUCAAGAUAAAUACAUUGGUUAAGCUUCUGAAUCAUAUGAGCCUUUAACUGGCUUAUAAAAAUGCUCAUUUUUCAUAUGAGAAGGACAACCAAUUUAGAGUUUCGAAAGAUAAAUAAAAAUUCCAAUUCUCACCAAGAAAAAAGAGCCGAAAAAAUACAAUGGGUUUUGAGGAGAGACGAAGUCUUUACCAACUAACAAAUGAAGUAAAUCAUGUUGUUCAAUGCUUGAACUUCCAAUUUAGUACACUUACAUCUUUAAUCUCUAACAAAACAAAACAAAAAAGGGAAAAAUCAUUUAGUAUACUUCUCACAACAUGUUUAAGAUGCAUGAACCCAACCAAAUUGCUUCACCGUUCACCUAUAUCCUCGGUGCUAUAAAUUCGAAUAAAAAACCAGUAAAUAAAAGUGGUUAAGCAAAAUCCCUCACUUCUCAUUACAUGUUGAAAUUUCUUUAACUAAACCUACUCCCAUUGUGUUACUUUUGUAGUGCAUACAUUACUAAAACCAAAAAGAAAAUGCUGCAAAGGGGAAAUUGGAAAAUCAUAUCACCAUCAAACAUUGCACUAAAGGCAUCUGAAGAAGCAAGCAGGCAGGUUCUGUGAGCAUACCAUCUAGCUGCAAUUGGUCAGUAAAAAUUUAUAGAGGUACUUUAUGUUAACAAUACAAUCACACAUGCUAAUUGAAUACUCUGUGAUUAAGAAAAAGAAGAGGAACUCACUCUGUGCUUCUUGAAAACUGGCGAGAGAACUGGAACUGAGUUGGAAGAAUGUACUGGAAGCAAUGGAACACCCCAGCUUCUUCAGCCUCGUCAUGAAAUAAUAUUAACAAUUCGGUCAAGUAUAAAACCAUCCGCCAGUUAUGGUUUUUGUAAAUUAUGUAGAAGCCAAAUAUCUAAUAAAUAGUCUAACAAUAAUUGAGUAAUCUGGUUUUGUUGAAAACAUUGGCAUUGUUAUGAAUGCCCACUCACACAUUGUUAAUACCCUUACAAAUUGAAAUAGACUUUGGAAAUAAAAGGAUUGUUUUUUCAAAACAUGCGAUGUAAAUUUCAAAUUGUAAGAACCUGUUUGUAUGGAGCUGCUUUAUAAAUAUAGCGCUCCGACUGCAGUUAAAUGAGAUAGAGAGAAUACUGAGAAAAAAGGAAAGAUAAAUAACUUCAGUAUCUAUUCCUCCAUCUUUUAUUUGUCAUCCUCUUGUGCUAUAACUUCAGUGUGAUAUUUUACACCUGCUUCGUUCCUGUCACUAGUAAAGAUUAUCUCUCUAACUUUUACAUAUUUAUAAUACGUUAUCAGCAUGAGUCUCUAAAACCUAACCAUUUUCUCAUUUCUCUUCGCCGAACAAAAGAAAGGAAAAAAUGUUUCCUAUAAGGUUUUUACUAUUCAUUUUCUUCCUCUGCCUCAACUGCGCGAUAUACCCUCUCGACGAACUGUUUGCUCCAUGCCUGCUUCUAGUUCUCAACCUAACAAUUACAUAUAUCUUUGAUUUCUUGUUUGGUGUAGAUCUUGAUUACUAACUCAGUAUUUAUUUAUGUUGAUUUUACUGCAAUCUAAGAUGGUGCGGUACAAUCGCUCAUCUUGAACUACAAAUUUAAUCUUACUGCGAUCCAAAAUGGUGCGGUAUCAUUGCCUAUCUUGGACUGCAGAUCUAAUUUUACUGCAAUUUAGGUGGUGCGGUAUAAUCAUCCACCCUACACUGCAUAUUUAAAUUUGCAUGUUGUUUAAUUUCAUUGCAAUUUUAGGUGGUGCGAUAUAAUUGCCCACCCUGCUAUGCGUAUUUAAAAUUUUCCUGCUACUAGAGUGGUGCGAAAUAAUCGUCCAUCCUAUGUUAUAUUAUUUCAAUGAGAAUGGUGCGGUAAAAUUGCCCUCCUCAUUCAUCUUGAAAAUCUCGGAAGUUUCGAGUACUUAUCAUUUUGGCCUGAAGAUCAAAAUGAAAAAUUUGCAAGAACCAGAAGUUCUAACACUAUAUUCCUCCAGGAAUACAUAUUAUUGCAAGUUCUUACACAUCUCAUUUUCUUUCAGAAAAGAAAAUGGCGAACUUAACAAAACUUGAUUUUGUUGCCCUGGUCAUUACUGGGAAUAAUUACCUUAUCUGGGUACUGGAUACCAAGAUCUAUCUGGAAGCAGGGAAUCUUGGAGAUACCAUCAGGGAAGAGAACAGCUCAUCCUCUCAAGAUCGGGCGAAGACCAUGAUCUUUAUUCUUCGCCAUCUUGAUAAGGGACUAAAGAGCGAGAACUUAACGGUUGAAGAUCUGUUAGCCCUCUGGAAGACAUUGAGAAAUAGAUACAAUCACCAGACAACGGUGAUUCUUCUAAGGGCUUGUUAUGAGUGGACUCACCUAAGGCUCCAAGAUUUCAAGUCAGUGGCAAAGUACAAUUCUGCGUUGUUUAGAAUUAUAUCUUAGAUGAAGCUCUGUGGGGAUACUAUUACUGAGGAAGAUUUGCUGGAAAAGACUUUUAGCACAUUUCAUGUCUCUAACGUGCUCCUGCAGCAGCAGUAUAGAGCGCAAGGCUUCACUGAAUACAACCAGCUGAUAUCUAUGCUCUUGGUAGCUGAACAAAACAAUGAGCUCCUGAUGAAAAAUCAUAUGUCUUGACCUACUGGAUCUACACCAUUCCCAUAAGUGAAUGCUGCUUCCCUUGAAAUGAACGCCACAUCCUUUGGUGGCGAUAAUCAUAAACGAGGACGUGGCCACAAGCGAGGUCGGUGGAACAGGAAAGGCAAGAACCAUGGUGGUCAGUUUCACAACUAGGGUCCUAGGCAUAAUUCAGGCCAGAGCUUUAAAAAUGUGAAUCGCCACAAAGGCAACGCUCAUAUGAACAAUGCUCUUAGAAACACUGAAGAAGCCUACCAUAGGUGUGGUGGUAAUGGGCAUUGGGCGCGUACUUGUCGCACCCCAAAACAUCUGGUGGAUCUAUAUCAAUCAUCCCUCAAGGAGAAUGGUGUUGAGACUAAUUUUCUCAACCAGACUAAAUCAAUGGAUAUACCUGAUCCAGUGUGCGACUUAUCAGGGCAAUUGAACACAACUCACCUAGAUGUUUCAGACUUCAUUGUGGAAAGGGGGAAUGAAGUGUAUCGGUCCGACUGAAUCGUUUAUGUUUAAUGUACUUUUAUUAUGCUGAACUUGUAGAUUAAAACUAGCAUUUCAAAUUCAAUAAAAGUGACAUGUAAAUUUCCUGUUAUAACUUGCUUCUAACUCUGAUUCCCUUACUCAGAAAGCAUAGAUAAAAACUAUGGUUAUUCUCAAAACAUGAGAAAUGGCAAAGAUAUUUGUCUUGCAGACUGCGCAACUACGUAUACAAUACUUCGAGAUCCAAAUUAUUUCUCAAGAUUGAUGCUUACAAAAGUAAGGGUAACAACAAAUAUAGGACAUUCAGAUGUAAUUGAAGGCUCAAGGAAAGCCCAGAUUAUGUUAUAAAAUAAUAUUGUCCAUACAUAAUGCGUUGUACACUACUCGAUCUACUCGAAUUUUUUUUAGUUUCAAAGACAUACGUUUAAAUGGAUACCACAUUGAAACGAAAAGUGCAGAAAAUGUGGAGUAUCUGUGCAUUACCUCCAAUGAUACCCAGAAGCGUAUAUUGGAGAAGUUGCAUGGUUUUCCGAGUGGAUUGUAGUAUACAUACAUAAAGACAGUUGAAUCACAUACUGUCAUGAACCAAAAGUUCAUUGAUUCAAAAGUUUACAUGCUUUGGCAUGACCGUCUGGGUCAUCCAGGAUCUACCAUGAUGCGUAAGAUCAUUACCAACUCUAAUGGACAUCCAUUAUUGAGCAUAAACUUUGCUAUCUUAAAUGAUAACCCUUGCAAGGUUUGUUCUCAAGGGAAGUUGGUAAUUAGAUCAUCACAACUAAAGGUUGAUACUGAAUCCCCAUCACUUCUGCAAAGAAUUCAAGGGGAUAUUUGUGGGCCUAUUCAACCAUCAUGUGAACCAUUUCGAUAUUUUAUGGUUUUGGUUGAUGCAUCUACCAGAUGGUCACAUGUUUGUCUCUUGUCUACUCGAAAUGUAGAUUUUGUGAGACUUCUUGCUUAGAUAAUUAAGUUACGAGCACAGUUCCCAUAUUACCCCAUUAAGUCAAUCCGACUUGAUAAUGCUGGUGAAUUUACAUCUCAAACCUUUGAUGAUUACUGCAUGACAUUGGGCAUUGAUGUUGAACACCUUGUUCCUCAUGUCUAUACUCAAAAUGGUCUAACAGAAGCAUUGAUCAAGCGGCUUCAUGUAAUAGCUUGCACUCUGCUCAUGAAAACAAAAUUGCCAAUUUCUGCAUGGGGACAUACCAUCUUACAUGCUGCAUCAUUGGUUCAAUUGAGACCUAUAGCUAACCACUAAUACUCUUCAAUACCAUCUAUCAUUAGAUAUUUGGAGCCCUUGACAAGUGAUAUGUUUACAACUCGUUUUGCUGAUUAUCACUUUGAUGGGACAGUCUUUCCCUCAUUAGGGGGAGAAAAUAUCGUUCAAGAAGAACGGAAAUAGUUGAACAUGGGUUGUUCCCACCUUAUCUCAUUUUGAUCCACAUAGCACUUAAUGUGAAAAUGAAGUGAAAAUGAUUGUUCAUCUUCAAAGCAUUGCCAAUCAAAUGGCAGAUGCAUUUAAUGAUGCUAUGAAAGUGAUAAAAUCACAUAGCUGCAAAUGCACCUGCAAGAAUUGAUGUCCCUGUUGGACAAAAUAAAGUGGAAACAAAUGGUUCAUCUGGUGCACGCCUGAAGCGUGGUAGACCCCUAGGUUCAAAAGAUUCAGCCCCUCGAAAGAGAAAGAUAAAGGCACAACUGAAUCCAAAUGAAAUCAUUCAAAAAGAGAGAAUGAAUGACAAAUCUACAAUUCAUGAUUCUGGACUUCCAAAAAAAGAAAAUGUCCUUGAUGAGACACAUGUCCCUGAAGAGACAGCAGUACAUGAGAGCAAAGAAAUCUCCAUAAAUUAUGCAUGUACUAAUGAAUUGUGGGAUCGGAAUUAAAUAACCAUCGACGAUAUGUUCGCAUUCGCAGUAGCCACUGAAAUCAUAUUAAGUGAUGGUAUUGAGCCCCACUCUGUUGAUGAAUGUAAACAAAGACAAGAUUGGCCUAAGUGGAAAGAUGCAAUCCAGGCAGAAUAAAAUUCCUUGGAAAGGCGAAAUGUUUUUGGACCAGUAGUCCAAACCCCACCUGGUGUAAACCCUGUGGGUUACAAAUGGGUAUUCAUAAGGAAACGUAAUGAGAAAAAGGAGAUUGCAAGAUAUAAAGCACAACUCGUUGCACAAGGUUUUUCGCAAAGACCUGGAAUUGAUUAUGAGGAGACAUAUUCUCCUGUAAUAGACGCAAUUACGUUCCGUUACUUAAUAAGUUUAGUGGUUUCAGAAAAAUUUGACAUGCGACUUAUGGAUGUCAUCACCACGUAUCUAUAUGGAGAAUUAGAUACUGACAUAUAUAUGAACAUCCCAUAAGGACUUAAGUCGCCUGAAACAACUAACAAAUCACGAGGUAUGCUGUCGAUCAAAUUAAGGCGAUCAUUGUAUGGGUUGAAACAAUCUGGACGAAUGUGGUAUAAUCGUCUCAGUGAGUAUUUGAUCAAAGAAGGGUAUAUCAACAAUGUCAUUUGCCCUUGUGUGUUCAUUAAGAAAUCCAACUCUGGAUUUGCUAUAGUGGCAAUAUAUGUCGAUGAUAUGAACCUAGUUGGAACCCCUGAAGAGCUCUAUUAAACUGUUGAAUAUCUGAAGAAAAAAAAAAGAAUUUAAAAUGAAAGACCUUGGAAAAACGAAAUUUUGUCUUGGCCUGCAGAUCGAGCAUUGUGCUAGUGGAAUUUUGGUCCAUCAAUCAGCUUACAUUGAAAAAAUCCUGAAGCGAUUUGGUAUGGACAAGACUUAUCCACUCAGCACGCCAAUGGUCGUUCGUUCUCUGGACGUUAAGAAAGAUCCAUUCCGUCCAAAAGAAGAUGAUGACCUGGUCUUUGGUCCAAAAGUACCAUAUCUGAGUGCAAUAUGUGCUUUGUUGUAUUUAGCACAAUGUACUAGACCAGAUAUGGCUUUUUCAGUCAACUUGUUAGCAAGGUAUAACUCUGCUCCAACAAUUCGUCAUUGGAAGGGUGUCAAAGAUGUAUUGCAAUAAUUUCGUGGGACAAUAGACAUAGGUUUCUUCUACUAAGAGAAAUCCACAAAUGACCAGGUCCUUGUUGGACAUGCAGAUGCUGGUUUUCUCUCUGAACCGCAUAAAGUCCACUCAUAAACUAGAUAUGUGUUCAAGAAUGGAGAUACAGCAAUCUCAUGGUGCUCAACAAAGCAAACACUAGUUGCUACAUCUUCAAAUCAUUCAGAAAUUCUUGCUUUACAUGAAGCAAGUCAUGAAUGUUCUUGGUUAAGAUCAAGGAUCCAUCAUAUCCGGAAUUCAUGUGGCCUAACUUCGAAGACAAACAAUCCAACUGUCAUUCAUGAAGAUAAUGUAGCAUGUAUUGCCCAAAUAAAGGAAGGAUUCAUCAAGGGCGAUAAAACUAAACACAUAUGUCCAAAAAUUUUCAGUGCACAUGAGCUUCAGAAAGAUAAAGUUAUUGAAGUCAGACAAAUUUGUUCUAAUGAAAAUCUGGCAGAUUUGUUCACCAAAUCUCUACCAAAAUGCACGUUUCAGAAGUUAGUGCAAAGUAUCGGAUUGCGUUGACUUACCAAACAGCUAAAUUUGGAGAAUGCGGAAUCAGGGGGAGAUAUAUAUAUCAUGGGGAGCAUCCAUGAUACAUGCAUGUUAUACUAUUUUUCCUUCGAUUAGGAUUUUUCCCACUGGGUUUUUCCUAUCAAGGUUUUAACGAGGCAACAUAAGCAUAUUUAACACUAUAUCAACAGUCCAGGAAAAGUUGUACUCUUUUUCCUUCACUAUGGUUUUUUCCCACUGGGUUUUUUCCAAGCAAGGUUUUAACAAGGCAACUCAUGUUGAUAUGUGGGCAUCCAAGAGGGAGUGUUGAAAACAUUGGCAUUGUUAUGAAUGCCCACACACACAUUGUCAAUACCCUUACAAAUUGAAAUAGACUUUGGAAACAAAAGGAUUGUUUUUCAAAACAUGAAAUGUAAAUUUCAAACUGUAAGAACCUAUUUGUAUGGAGCUGCUCUAUAAAUAGAGCGCUCUGACUACAGUUAAAUGAGAUAGAGAGAAUACUAAGAAAAAAGAAAGAUUAAUAACUUCAGUAUCUAUUCCUUCCUCUUUUAUUUGUUAUCCUUUUGUACUAUAGCUUCAGUAUGAUAUUUUACACCUGCUUCGUUCCUGUCACUAGUAAAAGUUAUCUCUCUAACUUUUACAUAUUUAUAACAGGUUUAAGAUUAAUAAAAAAGCAUGGGAAUUUCAGCUGUAAAAUCACACCUCAGGCUGCAACUCGACAAAGUCUGUGAAAUCAUAAUCCAAAAUGCGAUCUUCAGUCUUCAGGCCUCUGUUGCAAAAAUUAAUUCCACAAUCCCCAAAAAAUUAAAAAUUGAAGUUUGAUUUGAAAUUAAAAAUGCAUUCUUUGAAGAUAAAUUCAAAAAUUUAAAAUUAUAUGCGAGAGAGAGACCUUGUUAAUAUUCGGAGUUAGAGUGAGGAGUUCUCGAAUUGGGAGCGGCGGGGUUUCGUUGCAAAUUUUCCGAACAAAAUUUCCACGAAUGAAAGGUGAUCGCGAUUUUUUGGCUGGAGGAAAUGAUGUUUUAAGAUUUUUGGAAUUUUGAGUGAAUGGAUGGUGUGGCUGGUUGCGAAACAGAGAAAGAGAAGUUUGGGUGUUUUCAUCCCCUUUAAUAUCUGUUGUUAUUGCAAUUAUUUGUGAUUUAAUUAGCACUUUCUGUUCCAUGAAAUAGGCGUCUAUACAACGACAGCAUGUCAGGGCAUAUUCCCGUGACUUUGACUAACAUUCAAUCAUUGCAAGUCCUGUGAGUUUCAUACACUUUCAUCUCAGUAAGAGGGAGGAGAGGGAAGUUACUAAUUUCUCCGCCAUCAGAGAAUGCAAAUAACAUGUAGUUUUGCCAUGGAAUGCAGGGAUCUUUCAAAUAACAAUCUGACAGGGGAUAUUCCAGUCAAUGGAUCUUUUUCACUUUUUACUCUCGUCAGGUUUGUUGAACCCACUUUACUUUUUUUUUCUUUACCUUUUUCCUGCUGUGGCUGUCCCAGCGGACGAUCUAAAUGAUGUACUGACUGCUAUUAUUCAUUUUGUAGUUUUUCCAAUAAUCCUCGUCUGAAUCCACCUCCUCCCGUUUCUCCAACCCCACCAAGUUCUCCAGGUUUUUACAACUUAUACUGUUCUUGUGAUAUUAACUCAAAUUUAUUUUGAGAACAGUUGAAUAUCAGAGUACUAGACUACAAAAUAAGAAUAUUAUUACACAAAUAAGAAUGGCAAAACGGUUGCAAAAUUUAAAAAGACUACAUUGUGACACACUUGUUCUAAAGAAAAUAACAUGCAUCCUAUUUAUAAUAAACUAUACCCCUAAUUUCUAACAAAUCCUAAUUUUAACGGGCUGACCUCAAAUCCUAAACUUAUUACUUUCCAACUGGCUCUGUUUUGUUUCACAGACACUUGUGGUAUCGACUCCAGUCCAUUGGUAGUUAAUGUUUUUUCUUGGUGUUUUUCUGUUAAAUUUUUUUCUUAGUACAACAUUAUUGUUGGAAUCAUUGCGUAAAGCGGAAGUCUUGUGCACUGGGUACGACCUUUACAACAUUAUCGUUGGAAUCACUGCUGUAAAGAUUCUAAGAAGAUGCUAGUUAGGAAAGGAAUGGAUUGAGGAUCCGAGAGGAUACUCCUAAAUUCAUGUGAGUUUGAAGAAAUGAAUCGGCUAAAAAGUCAAAAAUAAAUAUAAACAAAAGAAGAACGAAAUUUCCGACUCGGUGGGCUGCGACUACUGAUUGAGAGUCCUCCAUCCGCAGCUCCUCCGUCUUCCUCCCAAACCUUUUACCUUUCUUUCUUUCUUCUCCAAAACUAGCAGCGGCAUGCUUUUCCAAACGUAAUCUGCAAUUUAAUCAAACAACCACCGAAUUUUCUGGAAACCGGUCAACGCAGAGAUGCUUCGGAUUUUGAUCGGUCAACGCCAGCUGCUUACCUGAGCUCCCACAGACCCAACAGUGAUAACGUCCUCCACCUCUGUUUCUGUUUGGCUGAUUCUGCUGUUUGGCUUCUUUCACCUCCACAAGCUUGCUGCCAAUGUCGAAGGUAUGUCUCUGUGUGUUAUUGAAUUUGGGAGUGUUUGGUUGUGGAAACCGGAAUGAACCAAUGAAUGAAUGAAUGACUGGAAACAUUCCCGAAGAGCUUGUGGGUUUGUAAGACUUGGUGAGCUUGGAUCUUUACUUGAACAAUUUACAUGGUACCAUUCCAGCGACACUUGACAACCUUUCCCGAAGAGCUUGGGGGUUUGUCAGAGCUUGGUGAGCUUGGCGGUUUGUCUUCUGGGUUUCUCAAUUUGUCCUUGGAUGAGGAAUUCGAAGUAGUUGUUGGAGAUUUUGGGUUGGCUAAACUCAUGGACUACAAGGAUACACAUGUUACCACACAUGUAUGUGGCACAAUUGGUCAUAUGGUGCUAGCAGGAAUUAGGAAGGGCCAUAAAAGCACCAUUCUUUAUAAUAUAUGUAUCUAUCCAGAAAUUAGUCUAGAUUAAGUAAAUAAUCAUUCUGAACUUAUGACAAUCUAUAUUUCUAAAUAUUCCUAUAGAUCCUAUAGAUUCGGCAAGUCUCAAGCCAAUCGUGUAAGGACACAAAAUCAAGUGCGUAGGUGCUUGUUGAUGGAUAAUGUUUGAAAUCUGAUCGUGAUCAUUGCAAGUGCAACUUUGUCACACUUCUCUUAUAAGUACUUCAACUAAGGUAUUAGGGAUCUAGGGAUCACUUUGUGUCAUUCCAACAUGGGAAUUUGAGCUCUGUCUACGCUCUUUAGAGGGACUUAAACCUAAAAAGUUUGGCUUAUUUGGGUUUGUAUUUGGUUGACCCAAAUAUUUGGGGUGCCCCACCUUUUAUUUUAAAGCAAUGGGUGAAUGAUUUAUUGAAGUGGCUGCCAGCUGGGCCGGUGAUCACCAACGACACAGAUUAAAAUCCUAUCUUUUAGCAAUGUUUAGAUUUUGAUCUAGUUGUUCAUGUUUGUUUCUUCCAAAUCCAAUGAUAAAAACAAAAUAAAUAAUAAAUAAAUAAAAACUUAAACGACUAAAAUUAAAUUCAACGUAAAAAUUAAUAAAAUAAUUUUCUUAGAUUAAAUCCACUUUAAAUUUAGAUGCUGUGUGUAUUAAAGUUUGAUUGGUUGUUUGUAUAUUGAAGUUUGGUUGGUGUGUACUUUGAAGUUUGGUUAGUUGGUUUGUAUAUUGAAAUUUGGUUGGUAUGUGCAUUGAAGAUUGGUUGGUUGUUUGUAUAUUGAAGUUUGGUUGGUUUGUUCGUGAUAGAGAAUUUUACCACCUACAAAAGUAGGGAUAAAAACACUUAAAAAUACUUGCAAGAGAACAAGGUAGUUAUAGUAUAAGCGGUGUUUAUACCAUACUUAGGGCCUCCGUAUUUAGAUCUCGUAUAAAUACUUGAGGGACUCAAAUGUAAUUAUGUAAUAAAGGAAUGGGCAAAUAUGUAAUAAGUGAGGAGCCCUUAUUCUAUAAAAUGGACUCCUCACCCUCACAAUGAGGAAGCCUCCUCAUCCCCUCAAUCCUCUCAAAUUGAGAAGAGCUCUCUCACCCUCAGAAGCUCUCUCUCUCCCUCUUCAACAUCUCAGAGAAAUACAAUAUCAGUGUGGACGUAGCCCAAACAUUGGGGUGAACCACGAUACAUAUUGUAUUAUUUACUUUCUUGCAGAUUCACGGUCGGAUUUAUGUUGUUCCAAGACCCCUCCAUUUUGUGCAUCAACAGUUUAUACCAUACUUAGGGUCUCCGUAUUUAGAUCUCGUAUAAAUACUAGAGGAACUCAAAUGUAAUUAUGUAAUAAAGGAAUGGGCAAAUAUGUAAUAAGUGAUGAGCCCUUAUUCUAUAAAAGGGGUUCCUCACCCUCACAAUGAGAAAGCCUCAUCAUCCCCUCAAGCCUCUUAGAUUGAGAAGAGCUCUCUCGCCCUCAGAAGCUCUCUUUCUCUCCCUCUUCAACAUCUCAGAGAAAUACAAUAUCAGUGUGGACGUAGCCCAAACAUUGGGGUGAACCACAAUACAUCUUGUGUUAUUUACUUUCUUGCAGAUUCACGAUCGAAUUUACGUUGUUCCAAGACCCCUCCGAUUUUGUGCAACAACAUUUGACACUGUCUGUAGGAAACGACACAAAAAGCUAUGUCGAUUCUCUUUCAUUUUUUCAUCUCACCACUGUGAGAUUUCACCACAACCUUCACCGUGAACCUGCAGAAAUCAAAACAAAAAGGAAAGAGACAUCGUGACACAAUGCAAGUUGGGCAAUGGAAAGAGACAUCGUGCUGGGUCAAGGGGAGACAUGUGGCUGCUGUUUAUGGGCCUGGACAAUGUUGGCAAGAAGAAGAAGAAUAGGCAGAGAUAUGGAGCCAAUGG
rnacentral:lncRNA from 1 species